AUCCAUUAAUCAAACAAUUGAGGGUAAAUAUUUGAAAAAUAUAAUUUACAAAAAGAUCUCUGAUUAAAAUGAAUAAAUGGAGUCCAUUUAUAAUUAAUUACAUAUGAAGAUCUGAUGGUGGGAAGAAACAGAAGCACAAAACAAAGAAGAAGAAAAUUCAGUUGCUUUCUCUCUCAUCUAUCUUCUUCUCUCUCGACACAAAAGAGAAAAAAAAAAAAACCAGAUCUCUGUGGCUCCGGCUUUUUGGCGGCGCGUGAGCGUCCGUUCGAAGUCGGGAGCCCUCCUCUUCUCCUUAAUCCUCUCCUUUUUCUCUUUGCUUCUCUCUUGUGACCUUCACUUGCUCUGCUUUGCUUGCUGCUCUGUUCCAAGGGUUUCGCUUAAGACGUCUUCGCACGUGAGGAGCUCCGUCUCCGGUGUAGAUUGCGAGGGUUGGAGCAACGGCGCGGGGUCUGUGUAUUCUCAGGCUGAGGAGUCGGCUUUUAGGGCUGUGCAAGGGGCUCCUUUAACCCCUUGGAGGGCCAGUAGCGCGUGGAGACGGGUUGGAGUCUCGCCGUCGGUUUCUUCUGCAGUCUUCGGUCUGUCUUGGUCUCGACGAGCGAUGGUUGUGUGGUGUCGGUUCUCUGUCUUUUCCUGGGCGUCUAGGUCAAGCGGGAUCUAUAGUACUUGCGAUUUGAGAGCUUCGGAGGUCCGUUUACUCGAAGGUGUUUGUAGCUCGUGUUGUCGGCGUGUGUCGAAGCACGCGGUGGUCUUGCGUGAAGUGCUGCUCCGGAGCGGUGUUGGAGGCGUCGUCCAUGGCAUCUCCAAGGCGAUGUUGCGGCCUUCCUCUCAGUCUUCCUCCCUCUUCCCGUCUAUUCGGUGUCGACAAGCGGAGCGUGUCGACUUGCUCCUGCUUGGUCUCACUCCUGUUUGUGUUUGUUCAAGCUUCAUCCUUGCCACAGGUUGCUGCUUUAGGCGUCAAGAACUUACCUCUACCCGGUUCUCGGAGGAGGCGACCUUCGAGGGUCUCGAGCGUCUCUGUUUGUCAGCGGAGUCUCCUCAUCCUUCGGUGGCUUGGUCGGUGGAGGCGGCACUUCCCAGCGCCGUGAGUUUGUUGAGCUCAUGGUGGUGUUGCUUCUCUACUGUUUUUGCAGGUCUUGGAGUGUCUUCGGCUUCGUUUAGUUGCGACUGGACCAAGUCCGUCUUUUGGCGUCAUAGAAGUCUUGCACAUCGAGUUAGGAGCGUUUUUCACUUGGUGUAGCUUCUAAUUCCUACUUCUAUUUUCGUCUACGCGCUCAUUGGUGAAAGUUAUGAGCCCAAAGAGAUCCCCGAGAGCUAGCUACUUCGGGAAUGACAUGGAAGUUCCCGGCAUCCGAGGUAACGAGGAGAACCUCACGGUUCCAUGGUCAUCAUUUUCGGUGAGAACAUCAAUCGGGUCCUAAGAAUUUUAAAAUCAUGCUACCGGAACGUGCCGGGUUUAGUGGGUGGGCGAACGUAGUUUGUAAUACAUUGACUUAGGAGCUUUUGUUUAAUUUGGGCUUGUAACUGGAUCUAAAAUUCCCGUUUUCGGGUUGAAUUAAAUAUAUCUAUUAAAAAAAAAAAAAAAAAAAAGAUCUGAUGGUAAAGAAAAGAAAGAGAAAAACGAUGGGGAUUAUCCAACAACACUGUUCCCUGAAAGUUUGGUUUCGACGCAGAAGAAAGGUUGUGUGAGGCAACGUCACCACCUGACCAGUGACCACCAUGUUUCCUAAUUUUCUGAACCAUAUACCUUUCCAAGAAAAUAGUUAUUAUCAAAAUAUUUUGAUAGUUCCAGUAGAAAUAACAUACAAAUAAUAAUCUAUUUUUGAUAAAACCAUUCUACUCAUAUAUUUAUUUAUGUGAUAAUGCUGACCUAUGAAAGUGAAAUUAGAAUUUAACUCUAUUUAUUUGAAGUAAUGUAAUAUACUCAACAUUAUUAAAAAUAUUAUAAUGGAACCUUUUCUGUCGAGCCUUUAUAAUUAUUUAAUAAAAUGAAAGGAAUAUAAUCAAGAUUUACAUAAAUAUUUCAUGAUAUUCGAAAAGGCAGAGAGACACGGUGACACCCCUUGUUCUCCAAGAAAAUUAACAACUUCACCAAUCACGCCUUCUAGACGCAAGUCAAAGUAAUAUUUAAAAUCUUAAAUUCUAUUUGAACGCGUUUUAUUAACAUUAUUUUUUCAUCAGAUAAAUCACAGUUGGCUCAUAAUUCAUUCUAUUAUUCCCAGAUUUUGUAUUGAUUCUUUUCUUUAAUUGCAUAACUCUCACAAGUUUUUUUUAAACUUACCUUUUUUAUUUGUAAUUGCAUACGUAUUGUUGAUAAUAACGUAUCUACUAAUGAGACUAAUUUAAUGUUAGAAAAUAGUUUUAAAUUAAAGUUAAUUAGAUUAUAGCUGAAAGAGAGAGAGAAGACGUAGAAGAACAAGCAGACCCUAAAGUACCUGCACUAGUUCAGAUUUGCAGUCCUUUUAAUUAAAAAAAACAAACUACUGAAAUUCAGACAUAAAAAUCAAAUCUGUCUUUCUCUAGUUUCUGAAUAUCCUGAGAAAACACAAGAGAAGAAAAAGACAGCUACAUAGACACGAAAGAAAGAAGAGAGAGAGGGAGAGAGAAAAGCUGCAUUUUUUUUAUGAGCUCUUAGCUUAUUGAUCUACCAUUGCCGACAAACUCUAGCAGAAGAAUCAAGCUUUAUCCACUGAGAUGGGUUUAUGUUAGUUUUUGUUCAUGUUAUCAACAGAUUCCUGGUUUGUCUCCUGAUUCUCUACUUCUCCUACAAAUCUCCUGUCUGAAAAUUUUCUGUCUUUUUGGGUUUUCUAUUGUGCUUGACUUGUGUCAUUGGGAUCUUUGUCCAAGCGCUGUCAAUUGCUUUUGCGUGUUCUUCAUCACCUCCUGCUUUUUUAUCUUUGUUUAUCUGAAUUUUAAGAUUCAAUUUUGGGAUUUCAAAAUAGUCUUAUCUUCUCUUGUAUUAAAAAGACAAAUGUGAUUGAAACUAUUGGUGUUUGGUAUGUUUUUUUUCUACUCUCCCUUCGAUUUGUAAAUUUUUAAAACUUUAUCGAUUCAAGGAACACUUCAAAAGAGAUUGUUUUUCAUCUGGAUUCGAGUUUGUUGACCAAUUUUUGAGUUUAUUUGUAUCGAAGUAAAAAUUUCAUAAUGUUUUUUUAUUAAAAUAUAUGUGACAGCUUCCGACAUUCUAGCUACUUCUGUUUAUAGGUGCUUGUGUCGUUUCAGUCUAUUUCUCUGUCUUUUUCCAAUUCUCUAGUUUGAUCUCGGAGACUAUGUUUCUUUCACAAACUGUUUAUAAUGGGUUUGGUUCAUCUAUCUUGUUACAGGUUUGAUCCAAAAGAUGAAACAUUAAGGAAGAUCAUCAACUUGGCUUCUUGAGUUAAAAAAAAGACACAAGAUUUGAGAAAUGGCUCGAGGUAGGAUAAGAUCAAAGCUACGACUAAGCAAUCUCUAUACAUUCGGAUGCCUUAGACCGAGCACACUCGAAGGCGAGGACCCUCCACACCCACUCCAAGGCCCAGGGUUCACCCGGACAGUGUUCUGUAACCAGCCUCACAUGCACAAGAAGAAGCCUCUUAGAUACCGUUCCAACUACGUCUCCACCACCAGAUACAACCUCAUAACGUUCUUCCCUAAAUCCUUAUACGAACAGUUCCACCGCGCGGCGAACCUCUACUUCCUGGUAGCCGCCAUCCUCUCCGUCUUCCCUCUCUCCCCCUUCAACAAAUGGAGCAUGAUCGCUCCUUUAGUCUUCGUCGUGGGGCUCAGCAUGAUGAAAGAGGCUCUGGAGGAUUGGCGCAGGUUCAUCCAAGACGUGAAGAUCAACGCGAGGAAGACGUGUGUUCAUAAAACUGAUGGUGGAUUUCGUUCUAGAAAGUGGAAGAAGGUUAGAGUUGGAGACGUUGUGAAGGUGGAGAAGGACGAGUUCUUCCCUGCUGAUUUGCUUCUUCUGUCGUCUAGCUACGAGGAUGGGAUUUGUUAUGUUGAGACUAUGAACUUAGAUGGUGAAACGAACUUGAAAGUGAAGAGGUCUUUGGAAGUGACACUACCACUAGAUGAUGAUGAGUCUUUUAAAAACUUCAUGGGGACUAUAAGAUGUGAAGAUCCAAACCCAAGUCUCUACACCUUCGUUGGGAAUCUUGAGUAUCAGCGUCAAACAUUUCCUUUGGAUCCAAGUCAGGUUCUGUUAAGAGACUCAAAGCUUAGGAACACAGCUUACGUCUACGGAGUGGUGGUCUUCACAGGUCACGACACUAAAGUUAUGCAAAACUCAACGAAGUCACCUUCAAAGAGAAGCAGAAUCGAAAGGACAAUGGACUACAUCAUCUACACGCUUCUAGUCCUACUCAUCUUGAUCUCUUGCAUCAGCUCAUCAGGCUUCGCUUGGGAGACAGAGUUCCACAUGCCGAAGAUGUGGUACUUGCGACCUGACGCCCCCGAGGAUCUAACCAACCCUAUAAGUCCAGUCUACGCUGGUGUGGUCCAUCUCAUCACCGCUCUGUUGCUUUACGGAUACUUGAUUCCAAUCUCUCUUUAUGUCUCUAUAGAAGUUGUCAAAGUCUGGCAAGCAAGUUUUAUUAAUCAAGACUUGCGCAUGUACGAUGAUGAGGGUGGCGUCCCCGCGCAAGCGCGGACUUCGAAUCUAAACGAAGAGCUUGGUCAGGUGCAUACUAUACUCUCUGAUAAGACGGGGACGUUGACGUGUAACCAGAUGGAUUUCUUGAAAUGCUCCAUCGCUGGUGCUUCUUAUGGUGUUCGUUCAAGCGAAGUGGAGCUAGCUGCUGCUAAGCAGAUGGCUGUUGAUCGUGAAGAACAUGGAGAGAUGGUAACAAGUACUAGAGUGUAUGGUACGUGUGACAGUAGCGGCACGCGUGAGAUAGAGGUGGAAAGUGGAGGGGAUAAUGAUGACAAUCCUAGAGUUCCUAUAAAGGGGUUUGGUUUUGAGGAUAACAGGCUCAUGAAUGGGAACUGGUUAAGGGAGUCGCAGCCAAAUGAUAUCUUGCAGUUCUUUCGGAUAUUAGCUAUUUGUCACACGGCGAUUCCUGAGCUGGACGAGGAGAGUGGUAAGUACACUUAUGAAGCAGAGUCGCCUGAUGAGGCUUCUUUUCUUGCUGCUGCUAGAGAGUUUGGUUUUGAGUUUUGUAAAAGGACUCAGUCAAGCGUGUUUGUUCGUGAGAGGUUCUCUUCUUCAGGGCAAAUCAUCAAAAGGUGAGUGUUGUAGAGAUGCUUCAUCUUUGACUCUUUUGAUUAUCAUUAUAGCUCUACUAAGUACCAGACACAAUGCAGGGAGUAUAAAGUUCUGAAUCUGUUGGAAUUCACAAGCAAAAGAAAGAGAAUGUCAGUGAUUGUAAGGGAUGAGGAAGGGCAGAUUCUUCUACUAUGCAAAGGAGCCGACAGGUUAGCAAACAUCAAGAAGGUUAUAUUAACAUUCUGUUCUUGUCUCUUCACUGUUAUCAAGUUUUUGUCUCCUGUUUUUUUUUGCAGCAUUAUCUUUGAUAGAUUGGCAAAGAAUGGGAAGACAUACUUGGGAUCAACCACUAGACAUUUAACUGAGUAUGGAGAAGCUGGGCUACGUACACUCGCACUUGCUUACAGAAAGCUUGAUGAGGAGGAAUACACAGCUUGGAACUCUGAGUUUCUUAAAGCCAAAACUUCAAUAGGAUCUGAUAGAGAUGAGAUGCUUGAGAAGGGAUCGGAUAUGAUUGAAAAAGAGCUUAUACUUGUAGGUGCUACUGCUGUGGAGGAUAAACUCCAGAAAGGGGUAUGUAUUAUCAAACAGAAACACUUAAACAUAUUAUUAUCUUGCUUAUGUGAAUUAAUAUUUUUUUUUUUGAGUUAGGUUCCUCAAUGCAUAGAUAAACUUGCUCAAGCUGGUCUCAAGCUAUGGGUUCUAACUGGGGACAAGAUGGAAACAGCAAUCAACAUUGGGUUAGAAAACUAGAAAUGAGAUCUGUUAUAUGUUUUUAUCUAUUGAGUUCUAUAAACAAAUGAAACCUUUAUGAACUGCAGAUUUGCGUGUAGUUUACUUAGGCAAGGCAUGAGACAGAUCUGCAUAACAUCAAUAAAUUCAGGUGGAGGAUCUCAAGAUUCUAAAAGGGUAUGUACUGAUGAUGCCAACUGCUAAAACAUUCAAUGAUAACCUUUGAAGCUAACUUUGUAUCUAAUGAUUGUGUGGCAGGCUGUCAAAGAGAACAUUUUGAACCAACUCACUAAAGCUGUACAAAUGGUGAAGCUAGAGACGGAUCCGCAUGCUGCGUUUGCUUUGAUCAUUGACGGGAAAACACUAACUUACGCAUUGGAGGAUGACAUGAAGUAUCAGUUCUUGGCUUUGGCAGUUGACUGUGCAUCAGUCAUCUGCUGUCGCGUGUCUCCCAAGCAAAAGGCUUUGGUAACAAGGCUGGUUAAAGAAGGAACCGGAAGAACCACAUUAGCAAUAGGCGAUGGAGCAAACGAUGUUGGGAUGAUUCAAGAAGCUGACAUUGGUGUAGGGAUUAGUGGAGUUGAAGGCAUGCAGGCUGUUAUGGCUAGUGACUUUUCCAUUGCGCAGUUUCGGUUCUUGGAACGAUUACUCGUCGUCCAUGGACACUGGUGCUACAAAAGAAUAGCUCAAAUGGUAUUAACUAGUUCUUGUGUGCCAUCAUGAUUACUUUUUACCUUGUAGUUUGUUACUAACGUUAAGCUGUUUUAACAUCCAGAUAUGCUAUUUCUUCUACAAGAACAUAGCAUUUGGUCUCACUCUCUUCUACUUUGAAGCCUUCACUGGAUUCUCCGGACAAUCGGUGUACAACGACUAUUACCUACUGCUCUUCAAUGUUGUCCUUACCUCAUUGCCAGUGAUUGCCCUUGGAGUCUUUGAACAGGAUGUUUCCUCCGAGAUCUGCUUACAAGUAAGCUUUAAUAAUCAUGAAGUAAAGUGAUGUACCGGAAGCUUGUAGAGAUAGAACUUUGAUUCAAAGAAUAUCCGGAAACCAAAGUUUGAAAAACUUUUCUUGGUGGAAAGUCUAUAUAUAAGAAAACUAUAAAACACACAAAAACAAUUAAAAGUAAUUAUCCUAAUAAUAAAUAAAAUAUUAAAUAGUUAGAAUAUUUAUAAUAUUCCUAAAUAUAUCAUUAAGCUAUUUUGAAUCUCUGCUGAUGACCUUCUCUUGUUUGUGCUUUGUGUAGUUUCCUGCUUUAUACCAACAAGGCACAAAGAACCUCUUCUUUGAUUGGUCAAGAAUCCUUGGAUGGAUGUGCAACGGCGUCUACUCAUCGCUAGUCAUAUUCUUCCUCAACAUAGGAAUCAUCUACUCUCAAGCCUUCAGAGAAGGCGGCCAAACAGCUGACAUGGACGCUGUCGGCACAACAAUGUUCACUUGCAUUAUAUGGGCAGUCAAUGUCCAAAUCGCGUUAACCAUGUCCCAUUUCACUUGGAUCCAACACGUUUUUAUAUGGGGAAGCAUCGGUUUGUGGUACCUCUUCCUAGCUCUCUUCGGGAUGAUGCGCCCAAGCCUCUCCGGAAACAUUUACAGUAUCCUCGAUGAGAUUCUUGGUCCUGCUCCUAUCUACUGGAUGGCUACGUUGCUGGUCACGGUGGCUGCGGUUCUUCCUUACGUGACUCACAUUGCUUUCCAGAGGUUCUUGAAUCCGUUGGAUCAUCAUAUCAUACAAGAGAUUAAAUACUACAAAAGAGAUGUUGAGGACGCGAGGAUGUGGACCAGAGAGGGUAGUAAAGCGAGAGAGAAGACCAAGAUUGGGUUCACAGCUAGAGUUGACGCAAAGAUCAGGCAUCUAAGGUCGAAACUGAACAAGAAACAGUCGAAUCUCUCGCAUUUUUCAGCUCAAGAUGCAAUGUCACCUAGAUCAUUGUAGCACGUAUAGGUUUGUUUUUUCUUACAGGUCCCCAAUUCUCUGAUGCCUUGAGAGUUUUGGAGAGGUCUUAGAGUGAGAUCAGUCUGUAAAGAGUAGUAGCUGAUGUUUUUUUUUCUAUUAUUUUGUUGGCUUCUCAUUUUUUUUAUUAACAUGCUUUGUUUCUUUUGUAUACUAUAUACUUAGGAUUUGUUUAUACUUAGGAGUUAGGACAGAAUGCAAAAACUUUAACAAAGCAUCUUACUUUGUGCCUCUUCUGCUCCUAUCUCUAAUCAUUUAAUUGGUGCAUAUUAUGAAUUCUAUGUACAAUAUUAAUAUAUAAUGGUUGCUUAACAGUAAUUGAUAUCUCUUGUACUCAUUCUAGAUUUAGAUCUGGACAUUUGAAUAUCUGUUUGAGUUUGUGUUGAGUUCAUAGAUCUCAUUCAAAUUUUAUGUGUUUGAAUCGGGUUCGGUUAACAAUAUUUCUUCGAAUAGAUCUUGUAAUAUUUCUUCGAAUAGAUCUUGUAAUUUUUCUCUAAGAUCCAUCUAAUAUCGGAAUUCAUUUAAAGUUCAAUUAAUAAUAUUUUGAAUUAUUUUACAAAUGUGAUACAUGAAAUUAGUUACCUAUGCUCAAAUAUUAUUUCGAAUACUAAUUUGGAUACUGAAGUUCCGUCUUUCCAUUUUCAGCGUUCGAGUUCAGAUUUGGUUCAAAUCAUUACCAAAACUUGAAAUACCGCUGUACAAAUCCAUGGUUUUUGGUUCGUUUCGGUUUGGUUCGUUCAUGUACAACUGCUUAUCAGCUUAUGCCUAACCCAUCCAUCAAUCAAUCUGGCUUAUUUUAGGGUAAAGAAUUGUUGGGUGUUUGAUACUGGUUAGAGAAGUGAGAGAGUGGUUGGUUGGCGAAUACAAUAAUUCACGUUACCAUGGGCCGAUAUAUACACACAAUAUGGGCCUGCCCCGGGCCCAAUAGAAAGUAUAUCAAACAACUCCACGAUAAUAGUAGGGGCGUUGAUUUGCUUUUAAAGUGCUUAACCAUCUGUGAGUCUAUCCCCUUCCCUUUUGGGAUAUUAUCAUUUCGCCGCGUGGAGAGAGAGAGAGAUGUCGCCGCUCUUUCGCCGGAAGUCAAUCGGAAUCCACCCCUACUCCUAACUUCAAUCCCUUUUGAUUUAAUCUUUUUUCUCCUGCUACUGUAACUAUCUCAUCGCACUCCUCAGCUACUCUGCUUCAAUCUGUAGUUAAUUGGGGAUUCUGUUAGGUUUUAGGGGUUUUAUCAGCUUUUUGAUUUAGAUGGAGCCGAGAGUCGGAAACAAGUUUCGGCUCGGGAGGAAGAUCGGUAGUGGAUCCUUCGGAGAGAUCUAUCUUGGUAUGCUCUAAAUCGCUUUUCUCGUUGAGCAGAGAUUACUGUUUAAAAAUGAUUUGAAUUGGAUAUGGCGUUUGUUUAGGUACGAAUAUACAGACGAAUGAAGAAGUUGCCAUUAAACUUGUAAGUUUUCGUUUUUACAAAUUAAAAGCAUUUCCAAUGUCUAAUGAAGUAGGGAGAAGCUAGUUUUGGGAAUGUGAGAUCUAUUAUUACAUAAAGAAUUGAACUUUCUCUGAACGUGGAAUGAAAAGCUGUGAUUUUUGGUGGCAUAUGUGUGUGCAAAGGUCUUAUGUUAUUGCUUGGCCUUUCUUGGCUUGUAGCUUCUUCUUCUUUACCUGUUUAAGAGGUUGUUUACAAUCGAAAGACAUAGGUCUACACUGUGUUUAGACGGAAAUGGAUAUAAUAAUGUUUCAUAGGCUUAUACGCAGCUAUAAGGCAGUUACUGCUUUUUGUAUUCUGCAGUCUAGUAAUUUAGAUGAGUUUCUUCCUUUCCUUCAUUUUGAUUUUCAGCGCUUUGGUGGUGAUAAGUUUAUUUCUAGCUUUGAUUCUGGAUUCAACCUGACUUCUUCUUUUAUAAGAACUGAGAGUUAGUAUUAUUGAUUCUUGGGAAGAUAUUGUAAUUAAUGCUGAAUAGGCUCUUAGUGUGAACGACAACAUUACCUGCAACUGGGUGGGCCCUACUACAUGUUGAAAUUUUUGAGAUGUUUGUUGUGUUGUGUGGCCUAAAGAUGGAGAAUUAUAGGGCUGACAGCUACUCAUAUUAUUAUUCAACGUUGCUUGUCUGUUGUCAAUAUGCUUCUUUUUUCUUCUUUUUUUUCUGUUACCUGUUUGUUUGUACUGGUUCUGACUGUUAAUGAUGUUCAAUCAAUUUUGACGUUUGUUUUCAUAUUUCUUUUUUUGUGAUGAAAAUGUGACAGAUUUAUCUUAGUUUAAGUGUUGUUGUGUUUGCUGCAUAUGUUUUGACUGCAUCCGUUUUUCUUCUUUCAGGAAAAUGUGAAAACUAAGCAUCCUCAGUUGCUGUAUGAAUCAAAAUUGUAUAAAGUAUUACAAGGAGGAAGUAAGGAUCUAGUUUUGUAACUUGUUUACAUUUGCAGUUUGUGAUUUCUGCUUUCUUAUCCAGAGACGUUGCUUUCCUUUCCUUUAUUCUAGCCGGCGUUCCAAACGUUAAAUGGUAUGGCACUGAAGGGGACUAUAACGUCCUUGUGAUAGACUUGUUGGGGCCUAGCCUUGAAGAUCUAUUCAACUUCUGUAGUAGGAAACUCUCACUUAAGACUGUACUAAUGCUUGCAGAUCAAAUGGUAGGAUACCUUGUGUUGCCUGAAAACACUUUCCUAUUUUAAAUAGGGAUAUUGCCAAAAUAAUUAGGAUCUCUUUUUGGUUCCUCUUGUCAGAUCAAUCGCAUUGAAUUUGUUCAUCAGAAGUCAUUUCUACACCGGGACAUCAAGCCUGACAACUUUCUGAUGGGUCUAGGAAGGCGCGCAAAUCAGGUAGCGAUGAAUUGGGUUGUUUGUACGCUUUUUACUCUUCUUAACUAUCUGCUAAACGAAGUGUUGGCCGAAUACAGGUAUAUGUCAUCGACUUUGGUCUGGCAAAGAAGUAUCGAGACUCAAAUAAUCAGCAUAUUCCGUACAGGUUGGCCACAGCCUGUGAUUUUCCUUGUCGAGAAUGUGCUUUUGUUACUGGAUUACAAAAAUAAUGAUUUGAGCUAGCGCGAGAGUUUGCUUUAAUUUUCUACUAGACUGUGUUCUCUGACUUAAGGUUCUUCUGUGUUAUACAUCACUGUGAAAGGGUGGAAUCUUCGUAUAUGCUUACAAUAGGAACUGCAGUUUGGUUAUUUAAGUUUUUUCUGUCUGGAUGUACUUUACUGUUGCUGCUAUCUAGAAAAUGGGCCUAGUACUUUUCCUUGGUUUUGAGUAUUAUGGCUGCUUCAUUCUUGUUUCAGUGGGCAUGAAUGUUUAUAGACAAGACAAAAGAUUUGUAGGUUUCUUUCAUUUGAUAAUUGGUAUAAGGUCAUAGGUCCCACUGCCGUUUUAGUAUUUUGUAUAGCCUCAUUCUCGGAAUAUUUAGUAUAAUUUUUCAGUUUUUGUGAAGCUGCAUUAGUAUAUGAGAUAAUCAUUUGUUGCAAAGCUACGAAGUAGUAACACUUUCGAUGAUUGCAGUAUCUGAUGUAUCAGCUUAGCAACUACAAUCUUAAUUUUUGAGUAUCGCAGGGAAAAUAAAAACUUGACUGGAACGGCCAGAUAUGCCAGCAUGAACACUCACCUUGGCAUAGGUACACCAGCUCCUUUAGUUUCCAACUUUCUUAUUAUUUAAAAACGUAGUUCUGAAUAGAAAUGGUCGUUUAUAUCACAGAACAAAGUCGUAGAGAUGAUUUGGAGUCACUUGGAUUUGUUCUCAUGUACUUCUUAAAAGGAAGGUAAGAAGCGCUCCUACCUUCAACGUUGGCAUGUUUCCGUUGGUUGUUAAAGGACUGUCUUUAACUUACUUACCCAAUUAAAUGCAGUCUUCCUUGGCAAGGACUGAAAGCUGGCAAUAAGAAGCAAAAGUAUGAGAGAAUCAGUGAAAAGAAAGUAUCGACAUCUAUUGAGGUAUCAUUAUCACCCAUUACAUGUGUUGGUCAUACUUGUGGUCUAAUGCUUCUUUAAUAUUCUUUUCUUAUUUUAGUCUUUGUGCCGUGGAUAUCCAUCUGAAUUCGCUUCUUACUUUCAUUAUUGCCGUUCCCUGAGAUUCGACGACAAGCCAGACUAUGCCUACCUGAAACGUCUUUUCCGUGACCUGUUUAUUCGCGAAGGUCUGGUCCCAUCCAUCAUCACUUUUGUUAAUUCUAGUCUGAUGAAGUAAAUGUAACUUGAACCAAUCAAGAACAUGUUGAUUUAUAUAUGCGUUAUCCUCUGCUCACAUUUUAGGCUUCCAGUUUGAUUAUGUAUUUGAUUGGACGAUCCUGAAGUAUCAGCAAUCACAGAUUUCAACUCCGCCUCCCCGUCCUCACGUAAGAGUCAUGGCUUUUUCUUUUUCAUAUUUCAUCUUUCUACUUCAUUUGUGCUGAUGAACAUAGCUUUCUUUCAGGGCGCUGGAGUUGGUCCAAGCUCUGGCUUACCCCCUGCUAUCGCUAGUGCUGAGAGACCAUCAGGUUGUUCCACCUGUCUUGAUUUUUCAUUAGUUUCUUUCCAUGUAUGAUAAGGCAUUUCACUACAGGGACAUGGCUUCUAUCCAUUUGAUAUGUUCUUUGGUUCAAUUGCAGGUGGCGAGGAAGUUAGACCUUCUGGUUGGUUAUUAGGAAACCCUAGACGAAGUUCUGGACAUAUUUUUAACUCAGGAAGCUCAGCUAAACAAAAGGCACCAGUUUCAAGUGAUCCUGCAAUAUCUAAAGAUGUAGUGGUGAGUACAUAAAGUUUCUCCAGGUUUAGAGGUAUCCAUUUGAUUCGUUGUAUAAAUGGUAACUGAAUUGUUUUGCUUGUGACAGUUAUCAAGCUCUAGCUUUCUCCGCGCAACUGGAUCAUCAAGACGUGCUACUGUCUCCAGUAGUCGCGAGCCUGCAGUUCCUGGAACUGAUUCUGAGCCAUCAAAACCUCAAAACAUUGAAGCUGGAUCAAGCUCCAACCCAAAGAUCCAUGGUGGUCGAAGCUCACCUAUCGUCUCAUCUGAUAACAAUAAGCUAUCAUCUCCCUCAAGGGGAAAUACUUCAGUCAUGAAGAACUAUGAGUCCAACCUUAAAGGGAUCGAGAGUCUGCAUUUUUAGUCUCUGCUGGGGAUCACUGAACCAGUGAAUGAUCGUUGAACUCCUCCGGGACAGAGUGUAAAUUAAAAGACAAAAGAAAACCUUUGUUAGGCUCUCUCCCCAUGUAUUACGUGCAUUUGUGUUUACAGGGAGAGAGACUUUACUUGUGCUGCAUGUAAGCACUCUCAAAUAACAAAGAUAAAGAAAGACUCUGAAGAAGUGAUUCCAGAGAAACACAAACUCAAAGAGGAUGAGAUCAAGGAGACUAAAGACUUGAAACACUCUUAAGUCCUCAUUUGUUAUUUCUUAAUGUCUGUUUGUAUUUGUGUCGUUUGGUAUUGCAAAGUUAAAAUUAUUUUUUGUGUCUCAAAGAGAUUUGAAGUGUCGUCGCAAAAAAAGGCGCAAAAGAAAGAAGGGGUUUUUCUUAUAUUUUCGUCUUCUCGUGUGACAUCAUAUUGUGAGGGUAAAUGGUCAUUCUGUGGGUAAAUAGUGAAAGAUGUACGUAAGCAAUAAUUGUACUGUUUUCCCUUACAGAAUUUUCUUAUGUCUUGUCAAGUUCCAUCCUGAGAGGGCCUGAGAGUUGCAUGUUACAUUGUGAAUGCAAUUAAAAUCCUUAAAUCAUGGUAACUACCAAUUUAUCAUGGCCUACAUGAUUCAGCCUAAGUAUUUUAUCGUUACAAACAACCAUAACAUCCAGUUACGAACAUCAAUAUUUGGCUGAGAAACGAGGAGAAAGAGACAAUAGAAGAGAAGUUGAGAAGAAUUUGUAGUUGAAUCAUGAAAGAGGUAAGACCUGAUGAAAAGAAAAAGACAACACAGAGAUUUUAUUAAACAAUGAACGUACCACUUGGUUACCUUUGAAAGAUUGAAGAACAGAGAUGAAAAUAUAACUUUUAUUAUUUCUCAAUUCUUGCCGUUCUACAUUGUUCAUAAACAUGCUUAAAUAGACACAUAAACUUCUGUGAAAACCCUAGCUUCUGUAACACUUGUCAUCAUCCUUCUUCUCCUAGUGAUCCAAGGGCUGAGAAUGAGUUCUGUAACUCAGGACCACACGGUUCCGUACAUGAUGUCACAAUCUCCUUUCCUCUUCUCUUCUCUUCUCUUCUUAUGUUGAUGUCUUUGUCGUUGCUCAAUAUAACCGUUGGAGAGGAUUGAUGACUUGGCACAGUCAUAAUCGGAAUGGGCUUGGGCUUGAAGAUAGCUUCAUUCAGAGUCUUGGGCCUGUCCGUACUGAGGUUGCUAAUACCCCCUCUCAAACUAGGCGUGGGAGGCACGUCAACGCCAAGUUUGAAUCGGAGUCGACAGAAUGAAGCAGUUGGGAGUGAUUUGGUGAAGAUAUCAGCAAGUUGUAGCUGAGCCGGAAUGUGUUUGACGACCAAAGAUCCGAGAGCUACUCUCUCUCGAACAUAAUGAUAAUCAGUUUCAAAAUGUUUAGUCCGUUUGUGAAAGGCGGGAUUUGCCGUGAGAUAGAUCGAUGAGAGGUUAUCUCCAAACAAUUGAGGUGUAACCGGAAGUGAAAUACCCAACUCCCUGAGUAGAAUGCUCAGCCAAGCCACUUCCGAUGCUGUCUCAGACAAAGAUCUAUACUCUGCUUCCGUAGAGCUCUUGGACACCGUGGGUUGCUUCUUGGAAGACCAGGAAAUGAGGUUUUGUCCCAGAAACGUGCAGAACCCUCCAGUAGAUCUUCUUGUUGCUCGACAACCAGCCCAAUCACUGUCACUGUAGGCCCUAAGAGUGCAGUCAGAGUCUUGGACAAACGAAAUCCCCAUAGAGAUCGUACCUUUAACAUAGCGCAAGAUUCUCUUUAUAUUGUUGAAGUCAGCAACAGACGGAGCCUGCAUCUUUUGACACACAUAGUUAACCGCAAACUGUAUAUCAGGCCUGGUGAGGGUUAGAUACUGAAGUUUUCCUGCCAGCUUCCUGAAGAAUUGGGGGUUGUAGAAGAUUUUGUCUUGAUCUGGAGCAUUGUUGAGUUGAAGCGGCAGAGGAGUGUUGCUUGGAGAGCAGUUUUCCAUUCCAGCAACUCCUAACAGAUCUACUGCAUACUGCUCUUGAGACAGAAACAAUCCUUUAUCAUGGAAUGUUGCUUGAAUUCCGAGAAAAUAGUGUAGCUUCCCCAGAUCCUUCAUCCGGAAUUUUGAGUUUAAUUCCUCAAGGAGCUUGAUCAAUGUUGCAGAAUUGUUACCUGUAAUCGCCAUAUCAUCCACAUAGAGUAAUAACAUGAUGAUGUUACCAUCUUUGUUGUAUAUGAAGAGAGAUGGAUCCUUGAUGCUGCAGACAAACCCAAAUUCAAUCAAGAAGUCACUAAACUUGUUGAACCAGGCUCUGGGAGAUUGUUUCAAACCGUAGAGAGAUUUGUGAAGAUGGCACACGUGAUCAGGCUUCGUCUUAUCAACAAACCCCGCUGGCUGUUUCAUAUACACUGUUUCCAGAAGAUCACCGUGCAGGAAGGCGUUCUUAACAUCCAUUUGCUUCACUUCCCAUUUCAUAAUUGUCGCGAGAUGAAGAACUGUUCUGACUGUGGCUGUCCUGACUACUGGACUGUAUGUCUCGAGAUAGUCUAUUCCCUCUUCUUGUUUGUUACCAUGAGCCACCAGUCGAGCUCUGUGACUUUUGACAGUUCCGUCUGCGUUGAGCUUGUAUCUGUAUAUCCAUUGAUUUCCCAAAACAUGCAUCCCUGGAGUUUUAGGAACUAGAGACCAUGUCUUUGUGAUGGUGCAAUUUUCAAUCUCUUCUCCCAUUGCGUUGUUCCAGUUCGGAUCUUGAAGAGCAGCUGUCACAGUUGUAGGGAGUGGAUCAGUUGAUCUGUAAGCAAGCAACGCAUAUUUAGGAUUGGGCUUCCUUAUUCCAUCUUUGGACCGUGUCACCAUUGAAUGUUGAGAAGUCGAGAUUGGAGCAGUGUUACUGAUGGUCGUAGCCCUCUCAGUGUGUCUUUGAUUGUUACUGUUCUCCGAUGAUCUUGGCACAGCCUGGCUAGUUGAAGUCUCAUUUGUUCCUGUGAUUUGCGACGACACCACGUUUCUUGAUAGAGGUGGGAAGUCAUCUUGAGAGAACAGAGGUGGUUGAGAUGACACCGGAGUCUUAGCUAUCUGAACCGUUGACGUCAGCACUGGUGGCGAAACGCUUGUCCUUGUCUCAACUUGAGCUGAACUUUCCUUCAUAAAACUUCUUUGCCAAGCUGCCAGAGAAGGUGUGGUUGCUUGAGAGUGAAGAUUUUGAUACACUGAACCAAAGGGGAAGCUCUCUUCAUCAAACAGAACGUGUCUUGAAAUGUAUACCCGUCCUGUUGGUGGAUAAAGACAUCGAUAUCCUUUGUACUUAUCAUUGUAUCCGAGAAAAACACAGUGAAGAGAUCGUGGAUCAAACUUCGUAGCAGCGUAUUCUCUCAGCAUAGGAUAACAGGAGCAUCCAAACGUUCUCAAUGCAGAGUAGUCUGGAGCUUUUCCGUGUAGCAACUCAAACGGACUUCUCUUGUCUUGCAGAGCUGAUGAUGGCAACAGAUUGCUUAAGAAGUUAGCCGUGUAAAAUGCUUCGACCCAGUAUCUUUGAGGCGCUCUGCUCUGAAAGAUCAUUGCCAAUCCCAGCUCUGUUAUGUGUCGGUGCUUUCGUUCAGCCAUACCGUUCUGUUGCGGAGUAUGCGGACAUGAUAUGAACUGUUGAAUUCCAUUCUCCUUCAAGUGGGCCAGAAACUUGUUGCUGAUGAACUCUCCGCCUCCAUCACACUGAAACACUCCUAUCUUGGUUGACAACUGAUUCUCAACAAGCUUCUGAAAUGAGACAAAUACGUUGAAGAAACCUGGCUCUGAUACCAUGAAAGAUUGAAGAACAGAGAUGAAAAUAUAACUUUUAUUAUUUCUCAAUUCUUGCCGUUCUACAUUGUUCAUAAACAUGCUUAAAUAGACACAUAAACUUCUGUGAAAACCCUAGCUUCUGUAACACUUGUCAUCAUCCUUCUUCUCCUAGUGAUCCAAGGGCUGAGAAUGAGUUCUGUAACUCAGGACCACACGGUUCCGUACAUGAUGUCACAAUCUCCUUUCCUCUUCUCUUCUCUUCUCUUCUUAUGUUGAUGUCUUUGUCGUUGCUCAAUAUAACCGUUGGAGAGGAUUGAUGACUUGGCACAGUCAUAAUCGGAAUGGGCUUGGGCUUGAAGAUAGCUUCAUUCAGAGUCUUGGGCCUGUCCGUACUGAGGUUGCUAAUAACCUUGUGUCUCUCGCUCUUAUUUAAACAUGAUUAUUGCGUGAUUAAGAUAAGUUUCUGAAAUCAGAUAUCGUACGUGAUUACUACUCUUUUCCUUGUGCUGCAUAUCUUUUACCUUAUCACCACAAACCAUAGACAGCAUUUGAACAAGUCUCCUUGAACCAUUUGAAGCUCUUUUUCAUAGACCCCUUCACUUUCCCUUCAACACCAUACACAUUAUAACCAGCCACUCUCUUUUUCCUCUGAAUCUCUGCCUCACACAAACCCUUGUACCCUUUCUUCGCCUUACUAGUUCUUCUCUUCGAUUUACUGUUGGGACUGUCUCUGUCUCUCACCGUCGUUGGAUUCUUGUAUGGACUAUAAGUUGAUGCGCUGUAAGAUCUCAUCAUCACUGGUGGCAGCUGGUUUGUUGGACUUGGUGCUGCUUCUCCAUUACUAGUUAAGCAAUGGUACUUGUUGGUGAUGCUGCUUCUUCUUCCUGUGAUCUCUUCUCUGCAUGACUUGGAUCUGAACAUCUCUUCACUUGCAACAAGCUCAAGAAACUGUAUCUGCUGCUUUUAGGAAGAAAGAAAAGGAGAGUUGAUUUUGGCUUCUAUCACCAACCUCUUUCUCUUCUGCUUUUUGUCUCUUGUAAACUUUUUAACAUUUUUGGCAAAUAUGUAUUAUAUAGAACAUAAAGUAUAAUUAAAUUCAUUUGUUGUCUAGUGAUUACAGUUUACAACCUCAACAUCUGUGAACGAAGGUUCCUGGUCAUUGGUUAGAUGAGAUAAGUUUUUGUCGUUUACUAAUUUAACUUUAUUAGAAAUUAAUUACUAGAUUACCUCGUAUGUUUUAUUCUUCCUAAGAAAAUUUUGUAAGAUCUCAUGUCCUUUUGCAUUAACACAUGGCCUCUGCUUCUUACUUUAUGAGUUCAAGAGAGUUUUUGGGGCUCGUACCAUUUCCAAACAGUUAAUAUAAUUUGUAAUUUACUUUGGCCAAACUAAAUCAACAAAAUUUAAACAAGAAUUUGAUUUGCAUAUUUCACAAGAAAGAGAGCAAAACAUCAUAAGGUCAAUAGACCAAAUGCAAAACAAAAACAAAAACAGUUGUGCAAGCUCAUUAGUCUAAUGAUUUGACUAAAUGUUUACUAAUGCGUCUAUAUCAAGUGUCCAGAGAAUGCAAUGCAAGUUGAGCCAAUAUACAUGAUUUUCAUCAGAUUUAUUAUGUAAUAAUUCUCAUGAUUUAGUAAAGGUAAUAAAUUAUUGUUAGAAGCUUGAUCCAACCAUCUAUAACAAUUAUCUAUGAAAUGGUGAAAUACUAGAGAAAUAAGUAAACCUAGACUAUCCUUGUGAGUCAAGUUAACAAAGAAGUCACAUAACAUUAAACCGAAAAUCUUAAAGUGCCAACAAAACAAAAGAAGUCAUGAGAUGAGUUUUUCUACCAAAAAAGGAAGGUAAAAUCAGCAGCUCCUCGGUUAAAAAAAAAAAUAGAAAUUACCAAGCCGCCACAACAGUAAAAAAAAGACUCUAGAGAAGAUCAGCAACAUUGUUAGGCAACUCCUCAACAACCACAUUGUAAAACUUCUGAAUAUCAGACAACAUCCUCUCAUCAUCCGUCGUCAUGAAGUUAAUCGCCACUCCCUUCCUCCCAAACCUCCCACUCCUCCCGAUACGGUGAAGGUAAUUCUCCGGCUGCGUCGGCAAAUCAAAGUUAAUCACCAGAGACACCUGCUGAACAUCUAUACCACGCGCAAGAAGGUCAGUGGUUAUCAGCACGCGAGAAGAUCCCGACCUAAACUCUCUCAUGAUGAUGUCUCUCGUGUUCUGGUCCAUAUCUCCAUGAGUCGCCGAGACCGUAUGGUCACGGCUCCUCAUUUUAUCAGUCAACCAAUCAACCUUACGCCUAGUGUUCACAAAGAUAACACUCUGAGUGAUAGCCAGCGUCUCGUAGAGAUCACAUAACGUCUCCAGCUUCCACUCUUCUUUAUCAACGUUGACGUAAAACUGCUUGAUACCUUCGAGAGUUAGCUCGUCGCGCUUGACGAGAAUCCUCACCGGUUUGCUCAUAAACUUCCUCGUGAUCUCAAGCGCUUCAGGCGGCAUGGUGGCUGAGAAGACACCGACCUGGACCUUAGAGGGAAGAAGCUGGAAGAUGUCGUAAAUCUGAUCCUUGAAGCCGCGAGAGAGCAUCUCAUCAGCUUCGUCGAGAACAAACAUCUUGAUGGCGUCUGCGCGGAGAGACUGCCUGCGGAGCAUGUCGAAGACGCGACCAGGUGUACCAACAACGACGUGGACACCAGACUGGAGAAUGCGCUGGUCCUCACGGACGCUUGUCCCGCCGACACACGCGUGGACCUUGACGCCGAGGUAGUCGCCGAGAGCUCUCAUGACCUUUUCAAUCUGCUGAGCUAGCUCUCUUGUAGGUGCUAGAACAAGAGCUUGGCACUGGAGGAGAGUGUAGUCGAGCUGCUGGAGGACGCCGGAGCAGAAGGUGGCGGUCUUGCCGGUUCCGGAUUGGGCUUGCUGGAUCACGUCGAGGCCCUUGCAGAAUGGGAUGAUUCCUCUCUGUUGAAUAGCGGAAGGCUUCUCAAAACCUGGAACAUGGACAACGAUGAUUAAAUGGUCCUACAAUGACUUGUUAACAGUAGAUAAAAUAUAGGACGCUAAAUUAAUAGAGUAGAUAGAAUGUGUUAUGUAACGUACCAUAGGCGUAGAUACCCCGGAGAAGAUCAGACCUGAGUUCCAUGGUAUCAAAGCUAUCGCAGACUUCGUCAUAGGUGGUGUAGAAAGUUUCCUGUCCUUCCUCACCGAGUCUACAGAACAUCAUAUAACUUAGUAGCGGUUUGGUUACAUUGGUGAUUCAGAGAUUUCGAUAGUAGAUGAUGAGAGAACUUACAUGGCGUUCAUCUUGGUAUCAAACUGACGUGGAUCAUAUUGAGUUCCUUCAGACGCCAUUCCUGCCAUGACUGUAUAAACAUAACGACAUUGUUAAAAAAAUAACAUUUUUGAAAGCAAAGACAUUCAAUUUAUAACCAAACUCUCUUGUCUUAUUAGAUAUCUAAAAUCAAGCAUAAAAGACAGAGACUUCGAAUCUAUGUUCGUAAUGUGGAUUGCACUAUCAAAGGAAUCAACGAGACCAAAAACAGAACAAGUCUCACUGAUGAAUCUACAAUGUACAACAAUAGCCUAAACCUAUUGUAUCAAAUAAGGCACAAUGAGAAUCCAAAAACAUAAAUCAUAUAAAAGGUAAAGAGAGAGAGAGAUUCAAACAAACCUGUUAUUAGCAAAUUGAAGACGUGAGAGAGAGACGAAAGAUUCAAACAAAAACUCCUCGGAUCAGCGCCGUGGAGUUGAAGAAGAAACAAAAACUGUUGAAAAUUAUUGCUUAUAUAAUCCUCCGAUUUUCCAUUUUUAAUUAAUAUUUUUGGUUUACUUAGCAGGAAAAGGAAAACAAAACAUUAAUAUCUUCUGUUCUGACUUUACCCUCCCAACUGUUUAUAUAUUACUACCGUCUUUGUCUCUCUGUUUCUUUUCAGACAUUAGUCGGGUCCCACUUAGUUAUAUAUAUAUUAUUAUUCGAAUAUUUUACUUUGCAUCCCAAAAAUAGUAAACUCUAUUCGGAAAAGAAAAAUUCAUAAACAAAAGCCAUCUCCCACUAAUAAUAUGUUCUGUUGUUGUAAGAGACGCCUCUGAAAUUAUACUCACAAUACAGAGUCACGCCUCGUAAAAUUGACUCUUCUUUUUUUUUUUUCUUAUCAACAACUAAACCAAAGACUUAGACGUCCGUAGCUCGUCUACCACCUAAUGAAAGUCUUCAACUCUGGUCUGACGAGAGUGUAAUCAACCUAAAGGAUGAAUGUAGACACACUGUUGAGCUCGACGAUAUAGUCCCCAUAGACUCAAGCCAAGACCACAGCCUCGCCACGACAACCUACAAAACAACAUAUCAAAAAAAGAUUUAGCUUGCUUCUCUUCUCAUAUGAAUGGAAAAAAAUGAGCAAAGUCUCGGUAUUUACAUUCUUUAUGCAUCUCUUUAGCUAACUCCAGCAUAAGUUCGGUUUCAUCUGCAAGCUUAGUCGUCUUCUCCAACUCUUCCACUGCUGCUUUGGCCACGUUUAUUUUAUUCUCUGCCUCUACAACUUUACAUGCCGCGGUUAUUGCAGCUUCGUCGAUCAUCUCUUGUGAAACCGAAGGGGGUUGAUUGAUGUAUGAUUGCCGGGGUUUUACGUUUGUCUCCUUUGGUUUUGGGGUUGGGGCAGGUGUUGUUCUUGUUGUUGUUUCUGAUCCAUCUGGUAGCUUGUAGAAGUUCAGUAACUGUUGAGAGAGUUGGAAUUAUAAACAAGACAUAGAUUAAAAGAAAGAUGAAGAAACAUGUGAAAGAGAGGAGGCGUGUGCUUCAAAGACGACUUACAGGUUUUGAGUUGCUAACCUUUGAAAGUUUUCCCUGAGCUGCGAGCCUCCUCAGUCUUGAGCUAAGGACUCUUCUAAAAGUUGGCGGCACUUCAUGCCUUGGCUGCUCUUUCCACAAAUAAACCACAAGCUCCGUUAGGAAAGGUUGUAGCAACCAACUUAAAAGUAGAAUCAAGAGAACUAUAGCCCCUCCCUUAUAUGUAGUAGAUGAUGAGUCUCUACCAAACUCUCAAGGCAAAAAGAAGAGCAGAGAGAAACGUGUCUCUAACCUCGAUGAAGCUGAAGAUGGAACCGACAUCAGAUCCAUUUGGAUCCGCUAACUCAGAGAUAGCUUCAAAUAUCAUCGCGUCAUACCUGAAAAUAGCAACUCAUUCACAAGUUUAGCAAAGCAUGAUUGAUAGGGUAUAUUAUCAUCUAAGGACAAACCUGGGAGCGUUCUUGUUAUCCACAGCAAAGUUAUUAUCAACGCUAAAGUCAGAAGAAGCACUGCGUGGGAGGGAAGUAGCCGGCGAGGAAGAAGAAGAGUUAGGAUAAGAAGGUGGAGUAGCGGUAGCAGCAGUGGGUGAAAGAGAAGCCAGAGUAACGCCUUCUUCUUUGACUUUCCUCGUUCUCGACUUAUCAUUUGAGCAUUGAGUACCCGGAGCAACACACAAGUUACGCCACUUAUCCUAACAAACCAUUCAAAAACACACACAUAACUCAAGAUUCUUGUUCACCAAGUGAUUGAAACAGAGACAUAACUCUCUAGAUUCUUGUUCAUAACCAAGUCAUUGCAAAUGAUCUAAUCUAAGAAGAGGGAUAAAGUAAUGUUCUUUAAACCUCAUUAAACUCAACCAAGAUUGCUUUAGAAGGAAAAGGAGGAACCUUGAGGUCGAUGUUGGAGCGAUUGGUGAGCUGAUGGGCGAACUCGGGAUCACGGAGAAUGUUCUUCCACUUGCCGGGGCCGUGCUUUUCAAUUCCGGCGCGCAACGCCUCCUCCUCGUCCCCCGUCCAUUUUAAUUUCUGGUUUCCCAUGAAUCGGACUGAGACACCGUCUCGUCGCCGCCGUAACCUUCGCCGGCUAUUUCGGCUCUCUGGCUCCUCUGCUCAGGAAUGAGCCUAUUUUUUUUUUUAAGACUUCGAGAGGUUAGGGUUUGCAAGAUCCUGAACCGAACCAAAAUCGAACCAAAUCCAUUUUUAUGAUACUUAAUUAACUAAAUUAGCGACGUAAACAAUUUUUUUUUAAAAAACAAAUCUCUCGAUUUCAUAAUAAAUAUGUUUUAAAAAAAUUCUUGAUUAAAAAAUAGACGUUUUGAUACGUAUAUUUUUGUGUGAAAAUACUAAACAAGAAGUGAUAUUUUCGUCAUAAUUUUUUUUUAUUUAAAAAUUUAUAAUGUUAAAUACAAUUAAUUAAAUUUUAUUUUUUUCUUUUUUAAUCUAAAACUAGUUUAAAUCAAACCAAACCAAUAUCAAAUUUGAUCAAAGAUAUGAUUUAUUUUUUAGAACUAAAAUAUCUGAACAAACCGAGCGUGUAUAUUGGUUAUUGUUAGUUGUCACUAUUAAUUGCAGGCAAAUACGAACGUCAUCAUAUACAUACUGAUCUGUUCAAUGUUAAACGUUGACAAAAAAAAAUUGGUAAAACUUAAAUUGGUUACAUUUGUACAUAAUAAAACUUCAGGGUCAAAUUAGAAAUAUCAGAAUCCACCAGCUUGUGGCAAGCGAAAGCCAAACGAAACAAAACCGGGUCUAAUUGAUUAACAAAAGAACUAUGGGGUCAAAUUCGAAUUAAACCGAAUCUGGAACGAACGAGUUUGGUCUCUCUGACAGAACACAAACAAAAUAGUUUACUUUAAUAAGUGAAAAACCCUAAAACACACACACAAACAAAACUCUUUUUAACUCUCUCAUUUCUAUUUUCCCACAACACACAUCGGAGAGAGAGAAAGCAAACUCCAACAUUUCUCCGAUGGCGGCGAACAACAACAGAUCCGAUCACGACUCAUCAGACGAGAACAACAACACGCGUCUCUACAACCCUUACCAAAACUUCGAGGCUCCGAUAAAGUCUCAGUACCUCUACAAGCUCCCCACCUCCCCCGAGUACCUCUUCACCGAGGAGUCCUUAAAGCAGCGCCGCUCCUGGGGCGAGAAUCUCACCUUCUACACCGGCACCGCUUACCUCGGCGGCUCCGUCGCCGGCGCCGCGGUCGGGAUCGUGACCGGGGUCAAGAACUUCGAAUCUGGCGACACGACGAAGCUGAAGAUCAACAGGAUCUUGAACUCCUCUGGUCACACGGGGAGGACGUGGGGGAAUAGGGUUGGGAUCAUUGGGUUGAUGUACGCUGGGAUCGAGAGUGGCGUUGUGGCUGCGUUGGAUAGGGAUGAUGUUUGGACUAGCGUGGUGGCGGGUCUUGGGACCGGGGCGGUUUUUAGGGCGGCGCGUGGGGUGAGAUCCGCGGCUGUGGCGGGGGCUCUCGGUGGGAUAGCGGCUGGUGCUGUGGUUGCUGGGAAGCAAGUUGUGAAGCGGUAUGUGCCCAUUUGAUGAAGGGAGAAAGAUUGUUGCUUUUGAAAUUUUUUGAUAGAGAGAGAGAGAGAUGUUCAAUUUGGAAUAUCAUUAAAAAAAAAUGAAAACUUUGAAUAACAAAACCUUUUUAUUUAUAUGAUGAUGACUAUCAGGAAUGGUUAUUGGUUGUUGAUAGUAGUUUACUUUCUGAUAAGAGUUAGUCUUCUUUGCGUAUGGCUAAUGUUUGGGAUCUAUGUGUUGUAUCAGUCUUUGAAAUGGAACUAUUUUCCUUUUUCAAGUUUGUACCUAUUCUGAUCCUGAUCCUUAUUGUCUCCCUAUGGUUCACUGUCUUGACUCUUGAUUGCAGUUAGGACAUUGAGUAUCAAUGAUUGUGAUCCUCAAAGAUUGUGUAUUUAUGUUCCUCUCGUUCUUCCUUUUCACUUACUGUGUUCUGCUUUCUGGUUUGUCUCUGAAGUCUAUACUCUCUGGAUCUUGGCAGCAGCUGUGGUGGGUUGCUAAUAGUAUUUCAGACAAGUGUUAUCUUAGUAUUAUUGCUAUUGAGAUUUUUUUUGCAUUACUUCUUACACAUUAUGGAAAACAACCAAUGAACUCAAAUAAACUCCAAAAAAAUCUUCAAAUUUCAAUGUUUUGCAGUUGCUUAGUAAAAUAUGUUCUGUUACAGAAAAUUAAUGUUCCUGUCAGACGAACUUCCAAUAAUAAACAAAUCUUCUUUAAGAAGAGUUUAGUUUUACAUGACUUAUGACUAUAAAAAUAUGUUAUGGGAGAUCAUCACCCCACUGAACUUUUGGAAGGUGCACAACUCAUAAAAGACCAACGGUUGCCUUUGUACUGGCUACUUCUUUCUGAUCUUGGAGGUCGUCUACUUCUUCUUGGUACUGAAUGACUACGCGUCUUUAACUGAUCAAGAUCGCCGCGGAUCUCAAGUACUCCCAAAGUUGGCUUCCUGCUAAUCUACGUUCAUGUUUUUUUUUAAAUUUUGUCAAUACUCAAAUAGGAUUUUUUUUUUUCAUUUCAUCCUCUUUCUACCGUUAACAUAUCUAAAACCUUUAGCAUGUGUGCAGAACACAAAAAGUUUUGUUUAUAUGUCUCUUGAUCAGCUAAGGUCUAGAUUCUAGUCCAUGUGCAGCAGAACGGUUCUAAGAAACUAACCUGAGAGGAAGGAACCGGAUCUGAAUAGUUAGAUUGUGACACAUGAGAUGUUCUGUUCUUGAUACGUUCAUGAUCCUCUCUUGCAAACUCUCUUAGCCUGUUCAGAGCCGGUAACACUACUGAAGCGAGAUCAGGUCUGUCUCUUUUCCUCAACUCACAGCACUGUAAAGCCAAUUUAGCCAACUCCAGAGUCUCUUCCUCAGGCCAUUCUGAUACCUUUGGAUCGAAAAGUUCACUGAGCUUGUUGUUUUCAACCGCCAUCUCUACUUUAUGGCCUAACCCCAUUGCUGGCAUGGCUGUUAUCAUUUGCAAAAGCACCACACCAAAAGAGUACAGAUCAGAUUUCACUCCCAGCAAUCCGGUUUGCUGGUACUCAGGGUCGAUGUAACAGAAUGUACCUGUUUCCUCAUACCACAAAGGGAAAACAAACAAACAAACAUCAACACUGUGGUUCCAUGUAAGCUUUGGACACAUUUCUCCAGAACUGAAGAAAUGAACAGAAACCAAACCGAAUUUCUUAAUCAACCAGACAGAACCUGUAUUUUUAGAACAGAAAAACUGAAACUGAACUAGACCGAAAAUAGAAUUGAAUGAGUACCUUAGUUUUUAAAAUACAUAUUAUAUACCUAAAAUUAUCAAUUAUAUUUAAUUCCCAAAUAACCAAAUAUUUUAAUAAUAUUAUUUAUAAACUAAAUUACCCGAAAUGUCGGAACCGAACCGAACAAAAUUGGACCCAAUUUUUUUUCUGGAUAUUAGUCGGUUUUUAACUUUGCUAUCUGUACCGAACCAAAAACCAAAAUAACCAAAUAAAUCGAACCGAAUUUUGUAAAUAACUGAACAGGUUCCUAAAUUUUUUAAGCGGAAAAAACAAUAUUUGAACCAAACUGCCCAUGCCUAGUUCCAAUGUCAUGAGAUAAAAAAAAGAGACAGAAGUUUAGAUUCUUACCAGCUGCAGAAGUCAUGUGAUAGUUACUAUAGCUAUCAGCCACAGAGGAAGGUACAAGACGAGCUAGACCAACGUCACUAAUCUUGCUAGUGAAAUGUCUAUCAAGUAAAAUGUUUGCCGGCUUCAGAUCACGAUGAACCAACGGCUCAGGUUUCGCAUGGUGAAGGAAAAGAAGCCCUGUGGCAACCUCCGCAGCGAUUCUGAACCUUGCUCUCCAAGAAAGCGGUGGUGUAUUGUCUUUGCAGAAGAGACGAUCUUCAAGCGUUCCAUUCUCCAUGUACUCGUAAAUAAGACAACCGUACUCAGGACAUGCACCGAGGAGGAUCACCAUAUUAGGAUGUCUCAUGCUACUCAGAACCUCAACCUCUUGUUGGAACUGUUUGAGGCCUUGUGUGAUGCCAGACUUCAAGAUUUUAAUGGCGACGGAAGUGUAAUCGAGGACGGCCUUGUACACAGGUCCAUACCCUCCUUCACCAAUCUUUAAAGCAUCUGAAAAGCCGUUGGUUGCACCUUCAACGUCUUUGAUACUGUAACGUCUGUAAGAGACGUUGCUUGCCAUUCUUUGUUUCUCCAACUUGGCUUGCAUCUCAAGUAACUUUCUCUUUUGGCUCUCCAUUUUUGCUAACUGCUUUGCUAUUUCAGCUGCUUGGAUUGCUGAAAGCCUUUUCUGAUUCUCCUCAGACAAUGCUCUAGGCAUCUCUAUUGCUUGGUCUAGUCUUCUAACUCCUUGAGACUACAUAGUUCAAUACCUGGUUAGUGAUUCAUCCACCAAGAACCUAAAGGAAAAACCAGUGUCAUCAAAAUGGAGACAAGGUAAGAAACAGCUUACGCUUUCUUUGUUGUUUGAGGGAUUAUACUGCUUCAGUUCUUGUCUCAAUCUCCUCACCUCGGCUUCAAGAUUUUGAUUCUGUGAAAACACAUAGCAAAGAACAUACAUCAUGUUGACAUUUAUGCAAAUCCGGGACCAAAGUCUUAUGUUUCUAAAAACCUAACCUGUUGUUCCAUGAAAGUUACCGCAUGUGGACUCUCCUGUUCAUCAAGGAAAUGUCAGAACAUAGUAAGAAACUAAACUUCUAUUUGAGUGUACUGAUACUAACCGUGGAUGUUGAAGAGAUGGAGCUUCCGUUGGUAGUGGAACUUUGAGAUAUAGUGUAAGAAGUCACAGUUGAUACCAUACCAUAACUUCCAUUGUCAGUGUCUGACUGAGAACACUCACUCAGAUUUUGCUGUGUUGAGAUGCGAGGAGGUGAACUGGUUUGGGAGAAAUCUGACAUGGGUUUGCUGUGUUGUGUAGAUACAACUGAAUCCCUGUGUAAAUGUAAACCAAACAGGACAUUCUUUACUACCAUGGUUAGAUAAUGGUUGGGAGAAAGGUUAGAGUGUACCUCUCUGAAUCACUUGAAUAGUUGGAGCUCCUUGGCUCAUUAUUGUACAACAAAGUAGAGAGACUUUGUUGUAUGGGAUGAUGCUUCAGAGCCUGACUUGCGGAUUUGCUUUUUAGCAGUUUAACUUUUGAGACAACAAAGACUGCGCAAGUCUCUGGAGACGUUUUAAGCAAAGUGGUGGGCACAUCUGGUCUCUUAAACUUCCUGAUCACAGAGAGGGACUAAUGUUAGUAUUCAUAUACAACCAAUGUUGAGAUAAUAUCAUUGAGCAUGAGAAUCGAGAGAGACUUGAAAAAGGCAUUGUGAGAAGAUGCGCCAACAACGAUAUUUGAAAUGGAAUUGUUAGUGAUGUAGCUGACAAUAGCAUUAGAGAUAUCAAUCUCUCUAAGAAGAACCUCCUUGGGAAUAAUCUGAAAAAGCAGUUUGGUAUAAUAAGUAAUGGAAACAUAAGUGUUUUGAUGCAGUAAAGGAGAUUGAGAGAUGAUCACUAACUCCUUUUCUAGAGCAGAAUCCUCUGAAAGGAAGAAAGAACUGAUGCGAAUCAUCUUGAUUGUCACGUUGUAUAUGUGCUCCUGUGUUUCCUUCUGCAAGAUGGAUGACCUCAUUAGAGUUAUCUGACAUUUUUUGUUUUGAUGAUGAGAGGUAAAUAAAGAUCGAGAUUAUGCCUUUAGGUUCAACGUGGAGAAGAACACAUUGUGGAGAAUCGACAAGAAUGUUCUCAACCGCCCAUUUCAAAGCGUGUUGGCUGUUCUUGUCUUUAUCAAUGGCUAUCACCGUGAUUAUGCCAUUGUCUACUCUUCUUGCAGACAUGUUAAAGACUUGCUACGCAAGAAACUUGAAUAGCGUGUUUCACAAGCGAACCAUGAUACUAGUUAAUUUAGCAAUUAACAUCUAAAAACCAAGACCGAUGGUGUUUGUUUUCUUUCGUUUGGUUCUGCGACUUCUGAGAAGAAACAAAGAACUAUAAAGAAACAGAUUCCGCUUUUAUUAUUGUGAAUGAAGAAGCUUGAGUGGUUUUGCAUGUUUGCUAAUUUUGGAGUGUUUUUUUUUCUCAAACGACUCAACAGUCUUGUGAACAAACAUCUAAACUUUAUUUAGAAAGUGUUAUUUUGGGAAGUUGCUAUCGGUUUGAAACUUCGAAUCAAACGAAGUCCGGUUAUGCAUUACUAAACAUUAAGUUGGUUUUCUUGUCUUGAUUUGUAAGAUUAGCCAGAUAAUGCGUUUUAGACUAAAAGCAUAGAAUAGUAUGUUGCGUUUUAUGUUUCGUUCUGAUAAUGUUUUUGAACUACAGAAUUGACAUUUGGGCAGAACAAUGUUUUCUUGAACGUAUUUUUUUAUAAAACGAUAUGGUGAUAUUUUGAUAGAUUAUAGUACAUCAUUUUUCACAUGCUCAUGUUUCCUAUUUUUUUUUUUUUUUAAAUGUAACUUUGUUAUUUUUUACCAUUCAAUAUAAUGUUUUCAGGCUUUAAAAACUAAUCAUGCUAAAUAUAUACUUUGAGCGUCUUGAAUUUAUAUGUAAUAAAAAAUAACACAGUGUUAAUAUAUUAAAAUAAAUUAUAUUUUUAUUAUUCAAAUGUUUUAGCAUAUUUUACAAAAGAAUAUUCAAAUCAAAUAUUUAUGUAAUUAAAUCAAAUAUUUAUGGUCGACCGUGAGAUUAGUGAAGAUUAAAACAAUUAUGGUUUGAUAAUCAAAUAUUUUGUAAAUAUGUAUUUUAGAUGAUUAAAGGAAAAAAUAAUGUAUAUUAAACAAUAAUUUGAAAUUUGGAAGUUAAAACAAAUGUUUGUUCUCGUGUUGAUUGAUGAUUUGAUUAUUCUCCUAAUACAAAAAAUGACGUGAAGAUAAUCUCAUGUUAGCUUAAAUUGUAAUUGAACUUAUGUUUCUUAUAAUAUCGACAUAUAAAUAUUAAUUGAAUUGCUUCGUAUUAUUAGUUCUGUUUAACUUUUUUAUAAAAAUCUUCUCGUAACAAGUGAUAUUUUUGUAAUUAUUCGUUAUCUCUUGUAGUAUUCAUGCUUUUGUAGCUUCUGACAGUCUAGAAUAUCUCUUUUCUUCGCUUCAACUAUCUACCACCAACUGAAAUUUAACUUUAGUCCUAGUGCACAGUACAAACAUCCCCAGUCGUAUAUUUACUCAACACUAUUAAUUGAUAAACACCAACAUUUUGAUUUUUUCCUCCUAGAUCAAUCAGACAGCCACAUGGGCAGGUAGAAAUCGGAAUUAUUGCGAAAGUCAUCACUUUCAGAAAGACAAAAACACGUUGCAUUUUCUCAUUUACAGAGCCAAAAAAGAAGAAGAAAAUAAACUAAUUAAAAAGCUAACGAUCAAAAUAUAUAUUGUUUUCUCUCAGUUGUCGUCUUCCAACUUCUCUCUUUUAGCCAUAUCACAAUUUCGUAUACGUCUCUCGAAACAUGAUUAGUUUUAAGACAAACCAUAUAACACUACGAGUGUGGUGUGAAUUUUUCCAUUGUUAGUAACAAUAAUUGGUGUUAUUCUUACCUUGUGUAUAUAUAUGGACAAGUUCCUAAGAGUAUAUAUAGUGGAACAAAAAAAGAGUUAUAUCAAUAAUAGGUAGGUGAAUCAUCAAACAAUAUUAUCUUUUUGAGGUGGUAAAAUACUAAAAUAUUUCGUUUUAUGUAAUUGGAUCAAAUGUAUAAUAAAUCCAUUAAAAAUGACUCAUGAUUAUAUUAACUGUUUAUAGUGAAAAUUAUAUAUAUAAAAUAAAACAUGAUUAUGUUGAACAAAUUACCAACUCGUCAAGAUUCCAUUCAUACUCUUACAUUCUCUUACAUUCUAUAUAGCUAUUCAUGAUCAUAUAAUUGCAUUUAGAACUAAUACAUGCAAACACAUAUCAUUGUUUAAUUCAUAAUAUGCUAUUUAUACCUCACUUAACUGUGAUUGAUCUAUCCAAAUGUCAUCUAUUCAUCUUAUAAUCUCUAUUUAGAAUCAAUGUAUACGUGUACGCGUGAAGACUUGGUGAAAAGUUUGUUAAAUAAGAAUAAAAGACUUGGUGAAAACCUUUUAUAUACUCACAUUAAACAUAUAUAUGUAUCAAAUUAUCAACACGUCAAGAUUUCAAUUUGUUAACAUAUCUCAUACUCUCACAUUCUAUAUAUUCAGCACAUACAGUUGUCAUAUAGAACUAAAACAUGCAGAUACAUAUGUCAUGAUAAAUCCUUAAAAAGAAUAUUUUAUUUAAAUCUCACUUAUCUGUAAUUAAUUUAUUCAACCAAAUGUUCAUUUAGAAUCAGUGUAUGCGUCUACGCGCCAAGACUUGGUGGAAACCUUUUAUAUACUUUUAAUAAAAACAAAUUUUCCUAGUGAAACAUAUUUAACAAAAAAAGGGAUUUAAUGAAACUCUUUAUACAUAUUUCAUAUGUGUAACCAUUACCAUAAAUAAAAAACGAAUUUUCCUAGUGAAAUAUAUUUUACAAAAGAGGGAUUUAAUGAAAUUAUCAACGCGUCAAGAAUUCAUUUUCGCAUAUCUCACACUCUCACAUUCUAUAAUAUAGUCAUCUCAUACAGUUGUCAAUUAGAACCAAAACAAGCAUAUAUAUGUAAUUAAUUAUUUGAUCCAAAUGUUACCUAUUCCAUCAUAUAUAUAAUCUCCAUUUAGAAUCGAUGUAUGAGUCUACGCGUCAAGACUUUUUAAUGAAAUUCUAAUGGAAAUUUUUAUACAUAUUAUAUAUAUAACCAUUAGCAUGAAUAAAUUUAGUAUUUGAAUUCUAAAUCCCGACGCAUGGUGAGAAACAUAAAUGUAAAACAUAUGUUGACAAAAAAAUGUAAAACAUAGGAGUAUUUAUUUGUUUUAAAAGAAAAAGAAAAAGAAAAGAAAAGAUAUAAUAGAGUGGGGAAAAAAAAGAAGAGAAAUAAUAGGCGAUGUUGGUAGAUCGACAGGUGUUGCCUGAAGCGACCUUAAGAAGGACAAUGACAAAAAGGAGAACAAAAAGGACUUGUGUAUACGUGUCCCUUCUUUAAUACUCAUUUUUCUGUAAUAAAUAAAUAAAUAAAAUACUCUUUUAUUUAAUUUUUGUUUAUUAAAAUCACAUUUAAAAAAAAAACACAGAGAGAAAAAAGAGCAAACCACACAAUAUUCUCCUCUUCUCUCUCUUCUUCUUCUUCGUCUUCUUCUUUCGUUUUGAUAGAGAGAGUCUCUCUCUUUAAGCACGAGCAUCCGAAACGAAAGAAGAAAACAUUCUUCACUCGUUCUCUCCUCUCUGUAUCAAAUUAGAAUUUGCUUCGUGAGAUUCAACUUGUAAGUUCUUCUCUUUAUAGAGUAUGCUUUUUAAUUGGAAGAUGAUGAUUGAUAUGCUAUGAAUCUCUUUUCUUCUUUAUAUAAGCUUUUGUGUUUAGUUUCUUAAUACCAAAGUUUAAUUCACCUUUUUUCUAUUUAAUAAUAAUAUUUCUAUUUAUUUUUCUUGGUAAUAAUAAUAAAAAAAAAGCUGAAGAAGCUGUCUUUUUUUAUUUACUUAGAUCCAGAAACAUCCAUGUUCUGUAAUGAUUCAAGAUGUCACUGAUUCGAAUGUUGUGAUUAAUAACAUCUCUUUAACGAUCUCUCUCAAUAGGGUGGAAGAGAAAGACAAGAGGAGGAGGAGGAUCCAUCGCCAUCAGAUCUGCUUCAUCUCGAAUGGAAGAGGAGAUGAUGAAUCAUUGCUUAGAGGAAUCCAAGAAGAUGCGAACUAUUGAAUGGUCUUAAGCUAACAAAGUACCAAGAAAACAAUUCGUUCCAAAGGUUCUUUUAUUUUUCUCUGUGAUGGAAGACAUGACUCCAGCAGUUGCAGUGACUCUCAGCUUAGCUAACUCUAUAUGCGACUCAUCACCUGUCGACAUCACUCAGCUCAAGAACGUUACCGACGCAGCUGACUUGUUACCUGAUUCCACCAUGGAAGAACAAUCCAAGAAAGGGUCCUGUGAUGGAAGUGUUGUGGAUGAAGACGAGGUGGAGGAUACUAGGGCCGUCAUAAGCGAAGGCUUACUAGUCGUUGACGCUGGAUCUGAACUCACCUUGUCUAUGGAGAUAGAUAACGGUAGAGUUCUCGCUAAAGCCAUUAUCCUAGGGGAAUCAAGCAUCGAGGAGGUUCCUACAGCUAAAGUUCUCAUUCAGGACACUAAGAUAGAAGAUUGUUCAGGUGUGACAGCUUCAGAGGUUGUUAUUAGGUUGCCAGAAGAGAAUAGUAGUAAUAACCACGUGGCGAAGGGGAGAAGCGUCUAUGAGCUGGAUUGUAUCCCUCUCUGGGGAACGGUUUCUAUUCAAGGUAAUAGAUCUGAGAUGGAGGAUGCUGUUGCCGUGCUGCCUCAUUUCUUGAAGUUACCUAUCAAAAUGCUUAUGGGAGAUCAUGAGGGUAUGAGUCCAAGCCUCACUCACCUCACUGGUCAUUUCUUCGGUGUUUAUGAUGGUCAUGGAGGCUAUCAGGUAUGCUAUAAUGACAAUAGUACUUAGUAAUUGAAGGUUGUUGCACCUCUCUGAAUGUUAUUGCUCUUAUAGGUUGCUGACUACUGUCGAGAUAGACUCCAUUUUGCUUUAGCUGAAGAGAUAGAGCGCAUUAAAGACGAGUUGUGCAAGAGGAACACUGGAGAAGGUAGGCAGGUGCAGUGGGAGAAAGUCUUCACUAGCUGUUUUCUAAAUGUAGACGGUGAGAUUGAAGGAAGAAUCGGUAGAGCUGCUGCUGUUGUUGGUGGUUCUUCUGAUGUGGUUCUUGAAGCUGUUGCCUCCGAGACUGUAGGAUCAACAGCUGUGGUUGCUUUGGUUUGUUCAUCACAUUUAGUGGUUUCUAACUGCGGUGAUUCUAGGGCGGUUUUGUACCGUGGCAAAGAAGCCAUGCCCUUAUCAGUUGAUCACAAAGUAAGAUUUGAGCUUCUUUCUUUAAUCUUACCGACUUGAUGAAGUUUUCUUGACGCCUCUUUACUGUUUCUUGCAGCCGGAUAGAGAGGAUGAGUAUGCGAGAAUAGAGAACGCUGGUGGGAAAGUUAUACAGUGGCAAGGCGCUCGUGUGUUUGGUGUUCUCGCCAUGUCUAGGUCCCUUGGUAAGCAAUACUUCUCUUGAUCACCACUAAUGCAUCUAUGAAUGGCUUAUUAAUAUCAUCUAUGGCACAUCACAAGCACUAUACCAUUAGAUCCUUUGUUGUGUGUUUUCCUUCUCUGAACCAUAUUGCAGGUGACAGAUACUUGAAGCCAUAUGUGAUUCCAGAACCGGAAGUGACGUUCAUGCCUAGGUCAAGAGAAGAUGACUGUCUAAUAAUAGCCAGCGAUGGUCUUUGGGACGUAAUGAGCAACCAAGAAGUCUGUGAAGUAGCGAGGAAACGGAUCUUGAUGUGGCACAAGAAGCACGGUGCGCCGCCUCUAGCGGAGAGAGGCAAAGGAACGGAUCCAGCUUGCCAAGCGGCGGCUGAGUACCUCUCGGUGCUUGCUCUUCAGAAAGGAAGCAAAGAUAACAUCUCCAUCAUUGUGGUUGACUUGAAAGCUCAAAGAAAGUUCAAGACCAGAGCUUGAAUGAAGCUUGAUGAUGAUUACUUUUUUUCUUUUUUACUGGGGUAAGUUUGCAGAAUCUUCUUAUAUUUUAGAUCGUAAGAGAUCUAAUUUCGACCUGUUUUUACUUAUAAUUUACUCAAUAUUGUAGUAAAGACUGAAGAAGAUGGUGAUGAUGAUGAUGCAUAGCUAAUUAUAAGUACAUUCCUUUUUUUUUCUCUAUGGAAACUUGGACUUAUGUAUUAAGAAGAAAUAGGGCAAUAUAAUGUUGAUUUUCCUUCUUUCAUUUUGGGUAUUGAAGUAGAUGAACAUGUUGUAAUGUUUUGUGAUGUGGCUAAUGAAACUGUAAUUGAAACUAUGCCACAUUAACCCUUUUUGCCUUUUUUCUAACCUCUAUAGAUUAAUGUCUUUUUAUUCUGUAACUUACAUAUUGCAUAUAGAGAGGGCCAGAAUGCUAGAGCUGUAGAUAAUGGUUUCUGAGUUGAUGUUUGGUUUCAUUUCCGUAAUAUAUUGUUAGACAAUGCACUGGUUGUCAACAAGUGGACGUGCCGGAGUGGUUAUCGGGCAUGACUAGAAAUCAUGUGGGCUUUGCCCGCGCAGGUUCGAAUCCUGCCGUUCACGGUUUUUGUGUUUCGUUUCCUUUUUCUCAUAUUUUAAUUGUUUCCAUAGCUAAAAGGGUUAAUAUUUAUUUAUUUUUUUAACAAAGUGAACCAGACAGUGAAGGCAAAAAUCUACUGUGCAUUGUAAUAGAAUUUAGGUUUUUUGUCCACAAUAUAAUCUAGAUUAUAGAAAGUUGAUAUCAUUUUUAGAUAAUCUUCUUUUGCAGGGAAGAAAGCAAAAAAAAAAUAACAAAAGGUUGAUAAUAUAAAUAUUUGAAGUUGACGGUUGGGGCAACGAUAGCGCCGGCUCUCUCCUCUUCGUUCCCCUUUGACCAGAAAUGCUAAUUAUUAGAAUCUUCGAUAAAUAUUGAACACAUAUUUUAUUCGAAAUUACAAGUUAACAUGCUAAUUACGCCUUUAGUUUUCGUACAGAAAACGUGUUUAAUAACACGUUAUACAUAUACGACUACGUUGAACAAUUUUGGCGUACCAAUAUGUAUGUGCUUCAUUUAAUCCAGCUGUAUCAAGAGCAAAUAUCUUUGUAAUUUCAUUUCCAACAUUCACAAGCAAAUUAUCACCGUUUUCCAGCUUGUUUAUCUAAAAAAAUCAUCAGGAACAAGUUUUUUUAAAGAAAAUCUAACAAAAGUUUCUUUUCGAGAAAUACUUGGGUUCACCCCCUAGGGUGAACCUCUAGGUUCACUAACCAAUAGUGUUUGAGUAUUUGAUAUUUGAUAUCUUUUAAAAAAGGAAAUAAAUUUGAAUAUCCAAAUUAGAUUAUAUCUUUAAAAUAAAAUAAUAAAAAUACAUAAAAAUAGUUACAAAAAUAAAUAAAUUAAUAUCGUUAAGUCUUCAGCAAAAUAUUAAACCCUAUACCCUAAAUACUAAACCUUAAACCCUAAACGUUAAACAUUAAACUUUGAAUAAACUCUAAACGUUGGAAAAUCUUAAACCCUAAAUCAUACAUUAAAAACUAAAUUUUAAUAACACUAAACCCUAAAUCCUAAUCACUAAACCCUAAACCUUGGGUAAACUCUGAACCCUUGGGUAAACUCUGAACCCUUGGAUAAAUCAUAAACUCUAGGGUUUAAUUUUAAAUAUUUUUGAUUUAGAGUUUAUGAUUUAUCCAAGGGUUCAUGCUUUAUCCAAGGGUUUAUGGUUUAGUGAUUGGGUUUAGGGUUUAGUAUUAUUAAGAUUUAGUUUUGAUGUAUGAUUUAGGGUUUAAAAUUUUCUAAUGGUUUACGGUUUAUCCAAGAUUUAAAGUUUAUAAUUUAGGGUUUGGAGUUUAGAAUUUAGGGUAUAGGAUUUAGUAUUUUGCUAACAUUUUAACAAUAUUUAUUUAUUUAUUUUUUGUAACUAUAUUUAUGUACUUUUAUUGUUUUAUUUUAAAAAUCUUUAUCAUAUUUGGAAAUUCAAUUUUAUUUCCUUUUUUAAAAGAUAUCAAAUAUCAAAUACUCAAUCACUAUUGGUUGGUGAAUCUAGAGGUUCACCUUAGGGGGUGAACCCAAGAAUUUUUCGUUUCUAGAUACAUCUCCAAAUUCUCGUGGAUUCACAUCUUUUGCUACCAAGUUAAAACAUGGUAGUAAUAUGUAGAGUGUAAACAGUGAGGAGAAGAAAAAACCGUUAUUAUAAGAAGGGUAAAAGGGGAUAUAUUUUGAAACUGUAAGUUGAAUAGUUUCAUCAUUUUCAUGGGUGACUUGGUAAAGGUGUAGUCAAGUACUAAUUAGAUCAUUAUACAUUUUGUUCAAAUAUCUACUACGUUGAAAUGUAUCUGCACAUGUAAUUAAUUGAUAACAUGAAUAAAAUAUAUGAAAUGAAGAAAUUUACACAUAACUAUCCUUAUAAGUUAUAACAUAUCUUACAAGUAACAUGUCUAACACUUCAAGACAAAAACAUAUUUAUUUGCAAGGAAGGUGUUAAGUAAAGUAGUAAUCCAGAAAAAAAAAAAAUCUAAACAGAAGAAGCAAAGCAUAUAAAGCAUAUGGAAGAAGUACUUUUAAAAUCCUAAAGGAAGCAUAUGGAAGAAGUAGAAGAUGGAGACGCGUCUACGCCGUUCUGGCUUCAAUCCCGCCGCAAUAACACUUACUUCCGCCGUACCUCUAGUCUCGGCGGCCGCGCAACCACCGUCGCCACACAAGCAUUCUUCGCCGGAGCCGCUGCGAUCCUCAUAGUCUACUUCAUCAUCCCUCCAUUCUUCACCUCCGUUUCACAGUUUCUCCGACCGCAUUUGGUCCGUAAAAGCUGGGACUAUCUCAACUUCGUUCUCGUCCUCUUCGCCGUCAUCUGCGGUUUCCUCAGCCGCAACACCACCGGUGACGACGAAAGCAAUCACAACAAGGAAGAAGUCAGUAAAAACAAAUUCUCGUCGAUCAUCGAUCGAGGCAGUGUAUCUAACGGUGAUCAGUUUCGUGAUCAGAGGGUGUACAAGAGGUAUAGCAGUUUACGUAGUAGUAGCUCGUAUCCAGAUCUGCGGCUCAGAGGAUUUGAAUCCGAUGAACGGUGGAGAUUUUACGACGAUACACGUGUAAGUCAAUGCCGUUACGAGGCUUUAGAUCCGACCAAUCGAAAUCAAGAAGAUGGCGGCGGUUCUGAUACUGAGAAAGUUGAGGUCGUUGCGACGGCGGAAGCUGAAGUAGUAGAAGAGUUAACAUCGCCUUCUAAUCCGCGGCCUCUGCCUUCUGCUCCGCCGUAUCCUUUUCCUGCCACGCCGUCUCCGCCUCGUGCUCCUCCACCGUCGAAGCCGGCAAAGAGGAAGACAAAGAGAGUGUACCAAAACGUCCCUGCGGCGAGGCCUCCGAUUACUCCGGUUCCAGCUCCGGCGACGGUGAAUCAAAAGAUUAGUAAACAGGAGAAAGGCGGAGCAAGUAAGGACUUUCUUGUUGCUCUACGGAGAAAGAAGAAGAAACAGAGACAACAGAGCAUCGACGGUCUCGAUUUACUCUUCGGCUCCGAUCCUCCGUUCGACUAUACACCGCCGCAUCCUCCUCCGCCUCCACCUCCACCACCUUUCUUCCAGGGACUCUUCUCGUCUAAAAAAGGCAAAAGCAAAAGAACCUAUUCAACUCCGCCGCCGCCUCCGCCGCCUCCACCUCAUCGGAACUAUGAAUCAUGCUCAUCAAUGGCGAAGAGACACAAUUCUCCAUCCGAAGCAACUCAAUUCAUAGGCACUGGAAGCGAAUCACCAUUACUGCCGAUCCCGCCGCCACCUCCUCCACCGCCGUUUAAAAUGCCGGCGUGGAAAUUCGUGAAGCGUGGAGAUUACGUCAGGAUGGUUAGCAACAUCAGCAUAAGCUCUGACGAACCUGAUGAUGAUGAUGAUCACGAUGUAGCUCAAUCAAGCUCAGUGGGGAGCAUGUUCUGUCCGAGCCCCGAUGUGGAUACCAAAGCUGAUGACUUCAUAGCGAGGUUCAGAGCUGGACUCAAGUUGGAGAAGAUCAACUCCGUGAAAAGAGGGAGAUCCAAUUUAGGACCCGAACCCGAAUCUUAAACGGGUUUAUAAAAUCCUUAAAAGGCCUAGGCCCAUGUGUACAGACGUUGAUUUCUCUUUUUGGAGUGUUUCAUUCUUGAUCGUGGAUCCCUUUUUUUGGUGUGUAUAUGAAGUAUAUUAUUGUGUUGUGUUUUUUCUCUCUUAUAUAUUUUCGUCUACGAAUUUUUGUAUUUUGUAUGUGGUGUAUACAACUUUAGCCCGUCAUAGCGAUAACCGAACAAUCUUUAUAUAUUUUGUGAAUUAGUUUCUCGAGCUUCUCCAUUUUGGAGACCAAAACAAAUCUGAAGAAGCCGAAGAAAGAUGUGUUCUUCUUGAUUGAUUGUACUCGGUUUUCCACUUUGCUAAGGCCACUAUCGACCCAAUAGACUUACAUCGAUCUUUAACAUUCAUCACCAUUUCAUCUUUUAUAGAAGGUUGUAUUUGUAUACUUUAUAAAGAUUCAACUUACAUUUUGGACGCAGAAUUUUAUUUGGUUACUUAAGACAUGGAAAAUGUUCUGAACCAAUAAAAGUGGAUCUUACAAAUAGGGAGCAUUGUGGGGUGGACUAAAAACUAGGGUUGAUUUAGCUAGCCCAUGUACAAUGUAUACAACCAACAUUAAUAGAAAUUUAAUCCGAUCAUAUUGUCCCAGCCCAUCACGAUGCUAAGGUACUUUUUGGAAUCAGUUCCAUGCCGAAUACAACUUUUUUUUUUUUCCGUCUGGAUAAUUUUUAAUUAAAGAAAACGGGCCAAGCCCAGAUGAAUACAACUUUUUCUUUGAUGAAUUAAAACUUUAGUAUAUAACUUUUCCCCCACAAAAAUCUGUUGAAGAGAAAUGAUUAACGAUGUAUAAAUUUCAUAUGUGGACCAAAAGAGUAAUGUAGGUGUAAUGCUAAUUUCAGAAAAAAAAAACAUUAUUUGAUAUAUAGAUUUGAAUCUCAAAUUUAUGACACUCACAAUGUCACUUAAAUGAAACAAUUACUGCAGAAAUGAUUUCUGUUGAUGUUUGGUGGUUUCUUGUUUUAGGACCACCACUGUUCAUGCAAUUUAGCAUCUCAAUGAAAUGAUAACCCUACCUACACAAAAGAUAUUCUUUAUGCACAACAAAAGGCUGGAGGGAUGGUGGAACUGUAAAAAAAAAGAAUCAUGCACAGGUGAGGUCACGUGAGUUUGUCUGAAAAGAUCACGUGACUCAUCUCUACACACACUGACUCCUGCUCCUUGUUUUCCUUCCAAUUUCCAAACCUGUGUCCGCCCAACGACCGAAGGAUAUGGACACCACGUCAUCUUAUCCAUAACAAACAAAAACAGAUCCAUUUUCUCUCUCUUCUCUCCUCCUUCUCAAAAAGAUCUUAGCCGUCGAUUACGAUGACUAUUUCUGUACCUUAUCUAUAUCUCCGCCGUCGAUCCUCUCCAAAAAUGUCGUGACUGACACGUGUCACCUGCCAGCAUCUGAUUUUACGCAGAGCCUCCAUACUUCCUUAAAAAGUGAAAAGCAUUUCGUUACGAAAGAUAAAACCGGAUAAAACAAGCCGGUUUAGCUAUACCGGAAUCUCGAUCUCGUUUCUUUACCGGAAAAAAAAAAAACAGAACCCUAGUCUCGCUCUAUAACAGUAUAAGGUCGCAUCCCAUUUUCGUGCUAGCUUCUCUCUUCGUUUCUUUCUCUAACAUCCGUCUGCUUAUUGGAUCAUCUUCUCCGGCCAAAGGAAACGCCUUUUUUCGCGGCGAGACUGAUUAUAGGAUGAUCGUUCUCUGUUUCGGAAUCGUUGAGUGAUGUUGUUAGAUCUCUCUGAUCGUUUCCCAUCAAAGACGUGGUUCCACAGGCGCAAAAAAUGCCUAAUCUAACCUUCUGAAAGCCUUUCCCUUUUUGAUUACUCGGCGAAUCUAAUCUUUCCCCUUUUAGAAAGUUUUGGUCUUUCCUAACUCGGUUUGUAAAUAGAGAUCGAAAGCUUGUUCCUUUUUGUUCUGGGUCUGUGUUAAAGAAGCUGGCGAAGAUGAAUCUCAGUACGGCCGAGGAAGAAUCGUCGUCGUCGGCGCAAGAGAUUCACAUCCCUGCUGACAUCAACUGGGAGAUGCUCGACAAGUCAAAGUUCUUUAUACUAGGAGCGGCUCUCUUCUCAGGGGUCUCUGGAGCUCUCUACCCAGCCGUGUUGAUGAAGACUCGUCAGCAAGUUUGUCAUCACUCUCAAGGCUCUUGCAUCAGAGGUGCGUUUACUCUCGUCAGACACGAAGGCUUGAGAGGGUUGUAUAGAGGGUUUGGCACUUCUCUGAUGGGAACCAUCCCUGCACGUGCCUUGUACAUGACGGCGUUGGAGGUUACCAAGAGUAGUGUAGGCUCUGCUGCCGUCGGGUUAGGUUUUACUGAGGGUAAGGCUUCCGCUGCUGCUAAUGCCGUUGGUGGGUUAACGGCUGCGAUGGCUGCUCAGCUUGUUUGGACUCCUGUCGAUGUGGUGAGCCAGAGGCUUAUGGUGCAAGGAAGCAGCGGGCUUAGGUGUUGUGAUUAUGUUAACGGGUUCGAUGCGUUUAAGAAGAUCGUAAGAGCUGAUGGAGUUAAGGGGUUAUACAGAGGGUUUGGGAUAUCGAUUCUGACUUAUGCGCCGUCUAACGCGGUUUGGUGGGCGUCUUACUCCGUUGCGCAGAGGAUGGUUUGGGGUGGAGUUGGGUGUUAUGUUUGUAAGAAGGACGGAGAGAGUGGGAACGCGAUGAAACCGGACUCGAAGACGGUGAUGGCUGUUCAGGGAGUUAGUGCUGCGAUUGCUGGGAGUGUUUCUGCUUUGAUUACGAUGCCGCUGGAUACAAUCAAGACGAGGUUGCAGGUUCUUGAUGGGGAAGAUAGUAAUGGGAAGCGUGGUGGACCGAGUAUUGGACAGACGGUGAGGAACUUGGUUAGGGAAGGUGGAUGGACAGCUUGUUACAGAGGGUUGGGACCGAGAUGUGCUUCAAUGUCAAUGUCUGCGACUACUAUGAUUACUACCUACGAGUUCUUGAAACGGCUUUCCGCUAAGAACCAUGACGGGUUUUGCUCUAAAUCAUAGUGUUAACAGCAGCUCAGAGAACCACAUAGAAGAAUCUUUUAUGAGAAAUGUCAUUUAUUUUUCUUACUCGUCUUUGCUGUUCUGUUCUGCUCUUUCCUUUGUUUCCAGUCAUAUUGUAAGGAAUGUGUUCAAAGUUGUUUCUAAAUAAAGAAAUGUUUAUUCCCACAUUUAGCCUUGGACUCCAGGUUUGGAUCGGUUCACCAUAACCGCGCUACUAAACCGGUAUGAUAAAUUAUGACUUGUAAGACUUUUUAUUGGACGAGACUUGAUUUGGCAAUAUGUUAGAAUCAGCAAGUCAUGAAUCACUUUUGGAAAUUGAUUAACAGGUUUGAUUGUGACUUUAUAUAAUUGAAAAUGCUUGUCUUUUGUUUUUUGUAUGAUCAUUGUUAGUGUUUCAGGAACACAAGUUUGUAUCUGUCGCAUAAGUCAACGACUCAUGGAGCAGAAUCUUACGUUUCUUCUUACCGUAUUCGAAAUAAUUUUAUAGGAAAUAAUAAUUGGUUAACAGACGGCUUUGAUAUUUUAUUCAUGAAAGUGUCCAAGAAAUGGUAAUAUUAUCAAGUAUCUUAGGUGUGUGAUGAGAUCUUCUCAAACUGAUAAAUGAGACUCAAAAGUAGAAUCUUUCAACCUCUUUUUUUUUAAUCAAGUUUACAGAAUAAAAAAGUAGAUUCUUCAUUAAAUGUUUAUCAAAAACAUUGUCAACUAGAUUGCAAAAUAUUCAGAAAUGUAUCUUACACGUCCACGGAGUGGAAUGCAGAAUCUGUUUUUUUUUUUCUUUUUUUAUUAAUCAUGUUCAUACAAAAUCAAAGCAUAGUUUACACGAGAUAGUAAGGGAAGAUUAAAAGUGUGUUCCAAACUGAAGAUUGUGGUGGUUCUUGUUCUUGUUGUGAUAUUUUAACACAUACAUAAAGUGAAAUUGAAACAUAAAAAAGUAACAACAAGCAAGAGAACUAGUAGUAGUAGCCAAGGAUGACUUCCCCUUUAGGUGGGAAACAUUGAAACAGCACCAAAAGAUCCAAUGUCUCAGAUAUGGACAGAGAAAUGGUGCAACUCCCCACCUCCAUGCAUGUCAUUGGACUGACCAUGAACAAGCAUAGCUCGGUUAGUCUGAGUUGGGAUUGGGAAACCUGAAAACUGGAAUUCAGUGUGUCCGAAGAUAUCAGCACCGUCGGAAACACAUGUAACGUCAGAGCCAGAAGUGGUUGAGCCGCCACGGUCUUUGUUGUGCUGCAGCAUAUGAGCUUUGAAUCUAGACAUGUUUGCCUGUUGGACCGACUUGUCACGUUCUUGCUCUUUAGCAGCAACCUGUUCGGAUUCUUGAAGAAGUUUUUUGGUGUUGAGGAAUCUUCCACCGGAUCCUCUUGGCCUUUUAAGAGCAUGGACAUGUCGAGAUUCAUGAAGAUACGGCUGUUGCAGUAAAGAAAAAGACAGAGAUGAGCAUAGCUUUCUAAAUGAGAAGCUGUUGUUGGUUCCUUAUUAUACCUUUCGGGCUUUGAUUAGUUUGUUCUGAGCCUCAAGCUUGGCACGUUGCUGCCUCCUCCUCAUGAUAGCAUGGUAUUGCUUCGCAUUGACAAAGACUGGCUCAGCUUCAGUGAUCUCCACUGGUAGUGCAACUCUACCAGGAACCAUACCCACCAUUUGGGGAUUGCAUGUCUGCAAAAGAGAUAAAGAGACUUGUGAUCACUGCAAAGCAUGGCAGAAGAAGAAAGUAUACUAAAGAAAGGUCUUACUAACCGGUGCAUGUGGAAGAUAAGGUGUAGCUAACAAACCACCAUAUUGUGGAUCAGCAUAGUGAAAUGAGAAAUUAGCCUGCACCAUGUAUGAUAUAAGGUAUCAGUCCACCAUCAGAUGAUUGCUAUUAUCACAAAUUAAAGACUCACAAGUACCUGCGUAGGAGCAAAGUGCAUGUUAGGGAAUCCUGUCAUUGCGCCUGACUUAGUAUGAGUCGCAGAUACCUUCCGCUGAGUUUCUUCAGGUCCUAGACAAGAAAAUGAGAGAGAUGAUAAUAUGAUUAAUUCUCUUGUAAAUAACAUGAGUAUUGAAGAUAUACCAAACAGUCUAAUAUCUGAUAAGCAAUGAAGAUCUUACCAAAACAUCAAGCAAGAGUCAAUAUGUACAACCACAUCUUCGUUGAGAACUGACCUGAUUUGGUUGAAAAAGAGAUUUGUCUGGAGGGAUGAUCAUCUCCACUACUAGCAACUUCAGUGUAAGACUGACAAGUGGACUGAGUUGAAGGUGAAUCCUGGUCCUGGAAACUGAUUUGCUUUGUGGUAUGCAUAUGUUCAGUUCUUGCAUCCACCACCUUCAAGCUUAGGGGGUCAUUUGGAAUCAUACCACCCCAUGAGAUGCUAGUGUUCAGGUAUGGCAAAGUGGAACCUUUCUUACUCAUCUGAUGCCUAACGUCAAUCAAGCUAUUCACACAAGAAUGAUGAAGAAGACCUACAUAAAUAAAAUAAAAAAAGAUUAGACUAUUUGGACAAAGAUGAUAUUAAACAUAAAAGAAAAUCCUUUAAAACCUAGAAAUAAAUAUAAAAGAGAGACUUAAAAGUUUCUAAAUUGAUAUAAACGAACUCUGAUUCGACAGUACUAUCUUGAGUAAAACCAAAUCGAGACGAUUGGACGAAAUUAGAAAUUUUCCGACCAAGAAACAAAACACAAGUUGUGACAGUCAUCACUUUUGGCAAAAAAAAAAAGGCGUUGACUUGAGAUGGAAGGAUUACCAAAUCAGUAAAACAACAUCAAUCUCACGCCACAAGACAGAUACACCAAAAAAGGGGAAAACUUUGACAGAGAGAUUAAACACCAAAGCCUUUCAAACAAGAGAUUACAGAUACAGAGGGGAGAUUAAUAGAUAGAUAGAUAAAGAGAAAACCUUUUUGAGAAUUAGAUGAAACGAAGAUGAAGAAAGGACACAGACUAGUUUUGCAUGUCUCCUUGUCUCUCUCUUUCUAUGAAACUCAGUGAAUCAGAGUGUGUCCGUAUUAUCUUCUUGUGCUUUCUUCGUCUCCGUCGAUUUGUUUCUCUCUCUCUCUUACCUUUCCUGGGAAACCACCAUGUCCAUGAGCAGCACUUUCACCUUCUUCUUCUGGUUCAUUAUUAUUGUCUUUAAGUGCUUUAAUUAUUCAUUUUAAUAAGAGCUUAAUUCGCUUUAACCAACACACACAGAAUCAAAAAAAUACUUUUUUCUUUUUAAAAAAUGAACAUUUUUAAUUAUUUGGAAUCGUCCCAACUAUUUCAGAUUCCUAAAUUCCUAAAAAUGAAAAUUUAAUAUUCGGAAAAUUCUAAAACUAUACUAUAUUUAAAAACAAAUGAUAAUGCAACUAAAAUGAUUCUUUAACUCUAACAAAUUAGUUUAGCAAUUUAACUUUUUCUGUUUAAUCACUUUAGCAAUAAUGUAUUAGUAACUUUUCCCCCAUUUUAUAUUUCGAAUACAAUCGUUUUUUUUUCUUGUUGUUGCUGGAUGAUGUAUUCCUAAUUAAUCUAAUCUAGUAGUGAAGCCAAAAAGUAUAAGCUAUCUUGGCCACGUUAAGCUAAGUUAGUAUAUUAAUUAAUUUGAUAUUUAGCUUUUUGUCCAAAGUGUGUUGUCGUUUCCAGACAAUGAAGCUUUUAAAUUUGUGUGAACCGUCCUUAGGUCUUUACUUAGUCUUUAGCCGCCUCUUAACUUUCAUCUUGGGGAUAAUGUUUCAGUUUGUAUCAAGUUGAUAGACUUAUUAUUAUAACCAACUUCCUUGAGUAUAGUAAUUAAGGAAAGUGUAAGCAUGCAAAAUGAGAUAGGAAUAAGGAUUGUAUUAUACUAAAACUUGGGUUGAGUUCUUAAUCAAGCACCUAACCUUCUUCUUUUUGGGUAAUGAAAUAAAGCUUAAGUGCAAGUCAAGCAUAGUGUUAUGCCUUCUUUGUCCUUUGAACAACCAAAACAUAAUAAUUGCUACUUCGUCGUUUACUUAAUUUGUUUUUGUUGUUAACAAUUUAUUAAACUUUUAAUUCUAUGUCUAUAGGCUUUGAGUCCUUAACUGAUUCAUGAGAACUUGGACACGUGGGUAUUGGAGCACUCAUCCCCCAGGGACCAAAAUCAAAAGUGAUCUACCUUUCUUUGGACCAAAUUCAUAAGAUACAAAGAGAAAGCUGGUAGUAUUAUAGAAGUCAUAAAAAAGAAAAGCUGAACCAGAGCAACUAAGAAAUAUCAACCACAAAGUGGUAGUCUAGUGGUAGAUAGAUCUUAGAAUUGCCAAGUAACCUAAAUUCGAAUGCAUUCCAAUACAUAUUACCUUAUGACUACUUGGAUAUAGACUUAUUCUACAAUCUAUUUAAAUACCCAGAAGUAAGAGUCCAUAUGUAUACUGCACCACCUUUUUAUGGAUCUGAGAUUACCAAAGGUUUAAAAAGAAACUAGUAAUAUCAAAUCCUUAAUUUUAUAUUGUCUCACUAAGUGAUGAGUAGGUGAAGCACUCUACAAUAUUGCUUUCGCUUCCAAAGGCGUAUGUAUGUUUUAGUCGUUAAGAACAUAACUCUUGUCGCGUUGGUUAAAAUUUGCGUGUCUCCAUCUUUUUAAGAGCACUGUCUGGUGAUUUUACCAAAGCCAAGAAAGCAAGAUAAUUGAUGCUCUAUGUUGAUAUAUUAUAGUCAAACGAGUAACUCGCUGGGUGUAGAUAGAAGCGGGGUCCAGCCUUUGAGAUAUGUGAAGCUAUUCAACUCUUCUCUCAAUCUGCAUUUAACCAGCAACACACACCACAGGCUAUCUUUGGAUCACUCUUCCUCCGUGCUGCCAGAGUCUGUGGUUUUCUUUUUAAGUAUGAACCAUAGAAGAAAGAGAACAUGUAAUCCUUGAAAGAUAGACUUCGUUUAAUUUGUAGAACAAAUUGUAAUUGCGCAUUAACUGAUCGAAACUCUAAAAAAGGAAGAUGAUGAACAUAUAGUAUCUGAAUGAGAAGAAUAUGAAUAUGUAGUAUGUGUGUGAUCUUGCUAAACCCUCAAAAUGUAUAGAAUUUUCAGAAGAAUCAAUGUGAACUAAGCCGACUAAUAAUAAAUAAUAUUUAACUAUAUCAAAAUAUUAACAGUAAUUUAUAUAAAUUACUGUUUUUGAAAUAAUUAUCAAUAAAAAUUACGGAUCUGGAUAUCCAGACUAAAAAAGCAAGAUAUCCGGAUCUGGUUUCGGUUUUGACGAAUUCAACAUUUUAUUAUCCGGAUUCGGAUCCGGCAUUCUAAAUAUCCGGAUUUUCGGAGCGGAUCCGGAUUGUAUCUCGGUUCGGAUAAUAAUUCGAAGCCUAUAUAGAACACUGGCUAUACUUAUUUGAAAGAUGCGCUGCGUCGCAGAGAAACAGAAACAUGGUAAAACGCUUGCUGAAUAUAAGUACAACUGCUUAGUGAAACUUCCGUAACUUUGAGAUAUAAAAGUAUUUGUGAUAAAUUGAUCAUGUUGGAAGCUAGGAAAAAGGUUGUAACAUUUGACUUUUGUUUUAUUAUUGUGGUUUGUGGGUGUUGUCAUUGGGAGGUAAUGCUUGCAGGAUAUUGAAAUAAAUUCAAUGCAAUGACAUGGUUCAAAAAUCUCACACGUCUUCAUAUUUCCGAUGACAACAUCUUUCACAUUAGAAAUCUCAGUACCCGACUCUAAGAGAUAACGGGAGCCAAAAUGCAAAGAUAGUUCCUGGAUCAUGUUUCAGUUGAACCAAUCGUAUCAGCCAGGAUCUUUGUGGGCUGUUUUUCUCAAUCAAAAGGCAUACAAACAAAAACAAUGUUGUAUGAAUGAAAACUCAGACCGACCCUUUUUCAAUUACAAAGGUAAAACGUUCCCAAACAGCUACUGACAAAUCAACCAAGCCAACAUAAAAUAACCCACGAGACUUGUACGAGGAACAAAUAAAUAAUAUAGAAACAAUGGUUGAAUAACAACAAGACCACAAAGAACAAACAAAUGCAGAAUGGAGUUAGCAGAUUUGCCCAAACCAUGUAACAUAAUUUACUGAGUAUGACCUUUUUCAUUGAUCAGCGUUAAGGGCUUUGGAGAUCCAUUCUGACACUGCGGCUUCAGUUUCUGAAUCCAUUUUUGGACGUAGAGACAAUGGAGUCACAGAGACCUGUCAUUACAAAAAGGGCAAGUAUUUGGAUUAGAAUCAAGAACUUCACCAGAAAAAUUCUAUAUCAUGAUGAUCCGAAGGGUUGAUUCAGAAAAGAGCAUAUAUAUGAUCAUGCCAACUUACAAAACCAUCUUCUAGAGCCUUGAUAUCCAAAUCUUCAUCCGUAUGUUCUUCAUUUUUAGCCACAAACUGCACAUAAACAUAGUCAGGACUCAGGAUCAAAGACUAAAUAUCCAAAAGGGUUUAUGAAGAGAACGGAGUUCAAAAUUUACAAUACCUCUAGGCGGAAGUAUUUCUUAACACGGCUCUCAGUUUUAGGAGCAACACCAACCGAUUCAAUCUCCACAAUACUCUUCUUCUGCGUUGUAAAACGACGUGCCGCUCCCUGAUAUUGCCAGAUAUCUUAGUUCAGUAUCUAGUUAACUAAUCUUGGACCUGAACCAAAAACUAACAUAGAAAUAACAGGGCUGCGGAUUAAAAUAUUUGAAUAGUAAAGAGUUAACUCACAGCAGCUGAAGCAUCUCUGCCAAGCUGGGCAAGCUGAGCUCCUAGGCUUUGUUGGUUGGACAUGAAGUUCCCAGCACCAGGGUGACGGUUAGCUGAAACAGCUUGCCAACUAUGACUCUGCCUCCACAUGCUUUGUUUUGUCACCUUGAAACCCUAUUCAUAUGUAAACGAAACAUCAACCUCCCUAAACCAUUGGCUAGUGAGACUCUAAUUAUCACCAAAAAAAAAAGAACAUGCUUGCAUCAGUAACCUUGUUUGAUGAGGGUGAUGUUGGAAUUUCUAUGUUGAGAGAGCAGUCUUUAGGGAAAACUCCUUUCUCAAUGUCUCUGAUAGUUGCGUUAAUCAGAGGUAAACAGACACCAACAGCCUCCUUAAAUUCACUUUCUUUGCUUUCACCUUUCUUCCUAUAAACAAUCAGAAAAAGUAAAUGGCCAACACGUCCACAUAUAUAGCAGUAUGCAUUCCCAAUUUCCCAUGAUUAAAACUCACCAGUUCAGUGAUAUUGACAAAGAGGGUACUCCAGAAACCAAAGCCUCCUUGGCUCCAGCUACUGCACCGGAGUAGAACCUGAAGGAGGAUUCUCCCAUCAGGAAAACACAUAGCUCCAUGGACAGACAAGGAAUAUAUAAAAAGACAAAAACACCUACAUUUGAUUACCACAGCUUGAUCCCUGAUUGAUUCCACUAAUCACCUGAAGAAAAUAAGCAGAAAUUACAAGAUAGUACCAUAACAUCUCAAUGAUGAUUAAAAAAAAUACUAACCACUAUUGGUUUAGACCAAGCGAAAAGCGCUCCUGAUAAUCCUAACGAGAUGCAGUCCACAGGAGUCCCUGAGACAACCACAAUCAAUGAAUCUUUUCUUCCAACAAAAAGACUCAAACUUUCAGAUUAUAAAAACCUUCCUUUGUCAAAGUUUAUAGAUGUAUUCAAUAUCCACAAACCUGAAACUUCAAAGGCGGUGGCACCUUUGAUAAUAACCGAACUCGCAGCGAUGGUUUCUCCAGGAGUCAUAGAAUGAGAGGAAACCGAUUUAUCCCUGCGCACAUUCCAAUUCACAAGCCUUACCAAAAGUUCCAAACUUUAAACAAGAAGACGAACAAAUCAACAAUCGAAAGCGUACGUUUGAGGAGCACAGACGUGGACAUUGUAGAGCCCUUCGCUAACCAAAGCCUCAACGAGAGAGAGGAGUCCAGGCGAAUCAAUCCCAUCUCCAUUCGUGACUAAAACGAUGGGUCUUGAGUCCUCAUCGAUCUCCUCCUUGGCCGCAACAGAAGUGGAGGGAGCCUCCUCCGACGGAGAUGCAUCGCUGCCUCCUUUUCUCUUGGAAAGCACGUCUUGGAGAUUGGAGACAAGCGCGGCAGACAAGCCGUUGUUCUUCGAGGUCAUCGUAUUAGAAAAGAGAGAUGAGGUGGGGUCUGUUGUUGAAUGAAUCAAAAAACUCUAGUGAGGAGGAAGGGGAAGACGAAGAAGAAGGGGAUUGGAGAGAGAGAGCGGGUCUAACGGAGGAAAGAGAGAUAGAAAGCUUGAGGGAAGAGAUUACUUUGUGAACUGUACUUUGUCCUAAGUAAAAUUUAAUUUAUAAUUAUGCAUUAAGACAUAAAGAGAUUAAUGUUUUUUUCCUUCUUGUAAUUACGGUCAAAAAGGAUGAAACAUGUUAUAAAAAAUGGUCCGCAUCUCAUAGUUAUUGCAUAUAUUAAAAGUUAUUGGAAAAAAAAUAUAGUUUGAACCGACAGCAUUAUAGUAACAUGUUGGUUGAAGAUUGAAACUGUUAAUUGUGUUUCUAGAUCAUAUGCUUUAUGCUACUGAAAUGUUUAUUAUUAAUAUAUCAAAAAUAGCUUUGGUUGAUUCAGUUAAUUUUUAGUCCCGUUAUGUUAUCAAAUGCUUUAUUAUUGAGUUGGGUUAUAGUUUUCAUUAAAUUAGAAGUUUAUAGCGGAUAGCAUUUCUAAAUUUGUGGAUUUGGUAGCUUUUAUUCCAGCUAAUAAUUGAUUUUUGCUAGGUACGCUUGCAUACUAUACUCUAUUAAUGACAUAAAUUAUUUUAGAACUGAUUAUGAGUGAGAAAUUGAUGUAGGGUCUAAAGGUCAACAAACUAAUUAGAAGAUUAAGAUGAUUGUGAUCUCUCUAAUCAUAAAAUGUCAAACGUUAGCGAGCUCCUUUGAUUUUUUUGAUUAGUUGGAAACUUGGAAUGGGGUGAUCGUCACGUCGUGAUCAUUGUGUGAGUAACUAAUAUCGAUUUUAUAUUAAUUGAUUCAAAUGAAAACAUGAACUGUUGUAAAGUAUACCUUCUGGUCCUUAUCCACUGUCCGCUUAAACAAAUUCAAAAACUUUAUACAUUUCUUCAAGUGAUGGGCUCUCUUUUGCCUUUAAUUAGACUUUGGAUCUUUAACAGUUGGCUACGAAUAUUUUUAGAACUUUACAGACAUAAAAUGAGUAUUCUGUAAUUGCUCUAUUGUAAAACUUCGAAAUUAAGAAUAGCCCAUUUGAAUAUUUUCCAAGCUAAAAAGGGUAUUAGGCCUAAUUAACUGAUUAGUGGGCCGAAUAAAUCAUCUAAGGCUACAUACUAUUUUAACUUUUCCUAAAUUUAUACUAACUACUAAAUUCUAUAAAUAAAUGUCAUCAGACUAUAAUAUAUAUUAUUAUUUGCGAAUUGAUUUUGAGUAUACAUAGAUUUUGAAAUUCAAUUUAGUAUUCAAACUUUCACGUUAAAGUUAGAGUGGAUAAUAUCGUUUAUAUAUUUAAUGAAUAAAAUAUAUAAAUUAGUUAAAAAUAAAAAUGAAUUUAAUUUUGUUUGUUAAAAUAAGAGAUUAAAAUAAUAAUAAAAAUUAUCUAAAAUCGAAAUAUUAUAUUUUAAACAAAGUUUAUUUUUUAACUAAAAAACAGUUCAAUUUUUUUUGUCUUUUUAUUUAUUUAAUAAUAAAAUUUAGAAGUAAUUCCAAAAAAAUAAUAGAAAUUAGAAAUGAUGUUAAAUAUUCUAAGGCAAAACAAAAUAUAUGAAUUUGAAGAACCAACCAGACUCGAAAAAGUAAUAGUGAACCAAAACUGAAACUAAUUAAAUACAUGAAUGAUUUAAAACUUUGAUAUCUGAAGAAUCUGAAUCAAAUCCGACCAAACCGAAAUAUUUUGAGUAUCUGAAGAUAUAUAAAUCACAAUUAUAUACUUAAAUAUAUUAGUUAUUUUAAAUUGAAUAUCUAGAAAAUCUUCAAAAUAAUUUAAUAUCUAAAAAUUACCAAAAAUAGUCACAAGUAAAUAUCUAAAAAUAGCUAAAAGCUUCAAAACACCAGAAAUAUUAAUAAUACCUAUUUGUUAUCCACUCAAAUAUCCAAAUCGAACCAAUUUUGAUGUUAAUUUUAGUAUUUAGUCUUAUGUAAUUCUAAUAUAUAUGUUUUUGAGGAUUUUAAAUAUAUUUGUAUAUUUCUCUUUUUUACAUAAUUUAAUGGGUAUCUAAACCUAAAUUGAACCCUUAAUGAUCUGAAUCAAAUAUAAACCAAAAUUUAUAAAUAUAUGAAUAGGAUUAAAAUCUUUAGCUUCUAAAAUCCAAAACCUGGAUAGACCGUACCAAACCCGAAUAGAUACAUGAACAUUCACCCCUAAAUCUUUCUUACAACAAAGCACCAAAACCAUAAUUGGUUUACUACAUUGUCUUAGAUAGUGUUUAUAUAUAAAUAAUUAUUAGUUUAUAUAACAUAUAUAUAAUAUUGCAAAAUGAUCAUCUUACUAUUUUUUCAAAUACAUUAUCUUAUAUAAAUUAUAUAUCAUAAAUUUAUUAUGCUUGAUAAUUUCUUAAAUAUCUGGGUAUAGAGUUUUAUUUUACUUGGAGGAUUUUUAUUUUUAUAAACUUCGAACAAUUUUUCCAUCGUUUUGUCAUCUAUGGAAUAUUAUUAAAAUUAAAUGAUAUCAUCGAAAAGCUAAAGGAAUUAUCAAAUUUUCUAUCAAUAAAAUUGAAAAUAGAACGAACGAACAGAAACAAGCUAGUCAUAUAUAUAAAACUAAAUCAGAAAAUCAAAUAGGUUACAACUUUAUUGACUUUUUAAAUUGAGGUUUUGAAUGGUAACGCUUCUACAAACACUACACCCUAAUUAAUCAUAACAAAAAUCUUUAUAUAUAUAUAUAUAUAUACAUUUUUGUUACUAUUAGAACCACACUACAGUUUAUCCGUAUAUUACUAUUGGGAACCCAAAGAAUUCGGAUUAAUAUUAAUAUUUAGCCCUUGCCUCGUUCGUCUUAAACAAAAACAGGAAUGGUUUUGACUUUACUUCAUAAUUGUAAACAAAUAAUACUAUGACAUACAAGAAAAUUAAAAAUCUAUUUGACUUUUUUUAUAAUCCGGCAAACCAAGGUCCACCCGACUAGUUACUUAGGAAUCAUUUUAUCAUUGUUAAAAAACCUGACUGUUCUCAAAAAAUAAUUAUAUAUCUAUGUCGACUGAUAGCACAAACAGAUAAAUCUGAAUUUGACAUGAUUUGAUUCUAGAAUGCUUAACACAUUUCCAAAAAAAAAAAAAACACUGUAGCAGUCUGCUACGGAUGUGUGACUCGGUAAAGUAUAGUAGUAUACGUUACUUACGUUACGGCUUACGAACUCAGUGACUGCACGACAAUAUCGUAUAAAAUACGUUAGAAAUUUUCAACGACAAUUAAAUAUAUAAUUUAGCAGACAAAUUAUAUUGAUUUUUAAGGUACGAUAAAAGUAUCCAAAUCUCCGGUAUAUGUGACGUUGCAUGCAUUAGACAGAAAUUAAACUAUUACUUUGAGAAAAAAAACAAAUGUAGAACGAUUCUAGGCGAUUUCGAAUAACUCGGUUUUUAUUUUUUAAACGUUCAUUUCACGGUGUCUAGGACGACGUUCGGCACGUAAAGAACCAUGUUUUCCAUAUGAUCUCAGGCACAUAUCAUGGACAAUUGGACACGUAUUUUAUUUUUAUUUUUGAGUUGAAUAUACUUCUUAAAACAAAUAUAUUAACGAUAGCUCGAAAUUUAUAAUAUAUGUUUAAUGGUUUUUAAAUUUCCAAGAAAUGUUAUCUAAGAAACUAGCCUAAAACACAAAGUGGGCGGCUGGACUAAGUUUUAUGAUAAAAUAAAGAACGUAGAUUUAAAAAGUAUAGUUUCAGCAUGAAAUUUAUCGAUAUCUUAUGAGUCGUCAAAUUAUUUUAACAAACCUACUUAUCAUAACAGAAAAAAGGAUCACUGAUCUUUACAUUUGACUGCAAAAUUAAUAAUUUGUACGUUCAAACAGAACAAGAUAAAAAAUUAUACCUAAGACACGUUAUAGCUAAUUUAACUAUUUGGCCUUUCGUUGACAAAAAAAAAAAACUAUUUGGCCUUUCAUUCCAUUUCCACUAGUUAAUUGAACUUUUCACAUGAACUGGAGACCUAAUGAAUAAAAUGAGCAUAUUCUUUUUAGGUUUAUCCUAAUUGUAAUUUUAUACCGUUACGACAAUUCACAAUAAUGUUAUUCAAAAAUAUAAUGUGGGUUUUUGCUUAUUAUAAAUAAAAGUAAUUUGUUUAUGUCCAAAAAAUAAAUAAUUUGUUACUCAUUUUUGGUACACUUGUCAAAUGCAAUCAAACUGAAAAAAAAUCCCAAAAGAGAAAAUAAAUAAAUCAUGAACACUAACUACACACGUGGUUAUAAAAAGCUUUGCUCGAUAUAUAUCAAUUACCAAAAUAAACACAUUAAAAGCUUGAAGCAGUAGUAUACACCACAAAAAAAAUGAACUCAACUUCUUAGAUAAGGAGGGCGGGUGGGCCAAAUAUAUGACUAAUUUUUUUUAAAACAGAUAGAAAAUCACGAGACGUACGUAUAAUAUUUUAAAAGUACAAUAUAUUAAUUUCCUUUAAGUAAAAUUAUUUUACAAAAAAAUGAUCAUGAGAUCUCUACAUUUUACUUCAAUAUUAAACAAAGCAAUAUCAAAGAUAUAUAGAGAUUUAUUUACUCUAAUCAUGGAUAUUUCAGUUCAUUUCAUAGCGUUUUCACAUAAAAAUGGGGUAUAUUUAAAGAACAAAAUGGAGAUAUUCUUAUCAUUCUAACCUGAUUAGAAAAUAUAUAUAUACAAUGGUUUAUACUUCAUGCAAUGUUUCUUGGAAAUUUAAUGGUAAUUUCGUUACCGUUAAGCACUAACUAAAUGUGUCUCUUCCUCUAUAAAAACUAAAUAGUUUCAUAACUCCUUUCGGCUACACUGCAAACUCAAAAAAGUCCAUAUAUAAAAAAAAAAAAAAAAAAAAAAAAAAAAAAAAAAAAAAAAAAAAAAAAAAAAAAAAAAAAAAAAAAAAAAAAAAAAAAAAAAAACCAA
rnacentral:lncRNA from 1 species